GGAACAAGUAAGUAGACGUGGUUCAUAGAAGUAAAUACUGAACACAAUAUUUUUACGUGAAAAAUACCCAGCUCAAGAAAAGUGUAAAAAACUAUGACCUAUAGCUCUACAGGAUUUAACCCCAACUUCACUAUAAUACUUGAGCCUCAACAAUCAACAGGAUUACAAGACUUCUUGUAAACUAGGAAUUAAAAUUUCUAACUCCUAUCAUUACAAAAACACAAAUCUUUCCAAGAUAAGUGUUCCCAAGUCUUCGAGUUACCCAACUUGAAGACACAAUUCCUAACUCAGUUUAUAGAUCAUUGAGACUAGAACAAUGACUCAUUACAACUCAAAGAACCUAACUACUACACAUAGUCUACGACUUGCUAAGUAAAAGACCAGGUUCUUCUUCAAGUAUGUGAACUGAUAUGCUGAUUGUUGAUUUUCUUUUCAGUGCUUGAGUACCAAGCCUUUUAAUUUCGUUUGUUGUAUUUAAGCCCUCCUCUGAUAAAGUUUUUUUUUUUAUGUCUACUUCUCUCUCCAGUAGGACUCUUAUCAAGUGACUCUUCUACUUGUUGCUUCCGCCUCUUUCUCUCUUAGAUUUAAUAUGACUCUUUCUUCUCUUAUUGUUGGACUCCUUGAUCAACCCAACUUCUGCACUAUUUCAUGUUUCUCUUCAUCUUGACUAGGACUCUUUUGCAGAACUUCUUAUUCUACUCAACUUCUGAUAUGAUAGAUAUUAUCCAUUUCUGUUUGUAUGCAGAGACAUCUUAUCCAUAACUUGUCUGCAGCUUAGCUUUGUUCACUUGGAUGGAUUAGCUUUUACAACAUGUUUCAUUCACAUGUCUAUCAUCAAAACUCCACAUGUCCUAACAAAUUCCCCCUUUUUGAUGAUGACUGUUGACACCUAAUUUUUGCCCCCCACGACUAAGUUUAGUCCUGAGCUUCUUCAAUUUUCAAUACAAUUGAAACAUUUAUGUUAUCUGAAUAAAAGUUUUUCUAAAUAUUUAUUUGGGUGGAUUCGUCAUUUUAAGUAGAGAUUAUAUAAAAUCGUGUUCAAUUAUACGAGAUUAUAUAAUUUGAUUACUUAAAUAUUUAUUCUAUGUAAUAUCGAAUUUUAAUUAAGGAUCACUUUGAAAAUAAAUAUAAUAAUUAAAGUCUUGAUUUAAAUAUAUUUGUCUUAAAAAAUAAUUUAUCUGAAUAAAUAUGUGUUUGAUUUUAUCGAAUCUAGAAGCUCGGGGUUAAAUGAGGUAUUAAUUCAUUUCAAAUUUUGACUUAAUUUGGCCAAUCUUUUUGAUUUGACCAUAAUUGAAAUCAAAUUAACCAUAAUUGCGAUGCAAUUGGCCAAUUGAUUUUCAAUUUGGCCAAAACUUAAAUGAAUUGCCCAAAUCCCCAAUUCACAUUCCUAAUUAUCUAACCCAUACCUCUCAAUUAAUAACCCAUUCCAAUUUUUAACCCAAUUUUGCCAAACCCCUAGGCCCAUUUCGUGUUUUCUUCAAACAAUAGCCCAACGAGAGGACUUCCAAUUAACAGCAUCAAUAGGCCUAAAUCCAACCCCCUCCAAUAGCCCAAAGGUCCAAAGAUCCGGCCCACUACCUCAUUUCCCUUCUUUUUUCCACAAAACCCUUCUCUUCCAAGGCAGCAAAGCUGCGUACAAACUCCAUCAACUUUGCAACCCGCCUCCAACAACCCGAUUCAGCCAAAACCGAACCAUCUCCAACCCGUUUUCGAACCGACUUAGUCCCAGCCCGUCAGUUUUCUCUUCACACGUAUUUUACGCAACAUUUGGACGAAGAGAAGCCUCGAAUCUUCUAGAAACAAGGCUAGGUGGCCUCUCCAACGGCUCAAUCCCGUGAUCCUCGGAUGAUAUUGUACGAUUUCGUACAUAUUGGGACGUUUUUCAUUGGUUCUUAAAGGAAAUUAAUUUUUCCCAAACCCUAUUGGUUCACCCGUCGUAAAUUUCUCGGAGAAAAUCCAAAAUGGGUACGAUUGAGGAUGAAAAACGGGGCUGUGGAGGAGAUUUUUGAAUUUCAAAUCCUAGGGUUCCCUUCUUUUGAAUCCCGAAAAUACCCCGAUUAUGUUUCUAUAUAAGAACCGGUUGGGUCAUAAUUCGAGGGAUUGGAAAUUCUUGAAUUCAAAAAUUUAGGUUUGGAAAAUCCAAACUGAGAGGUUCAAAAUUUGGAGUCUCAAAAGAGUGAAAAAAUUUUCUUGUUUCUACUGGAGGAGAAAAAAUUCUUGAAAAGGCAGAAACACGGGUAGAAAAUUUUUGGGGUUCAAAAAUUCAGUUCGUUGUAUAAAUUAAGGCUUCGAGUUGACUGCGAAUACAUUUUUUUGGUGGUUGCGAGUUCGACGCUAGUUCGUUAUCCCAUUUUGCUGCCUGGAAAGAGGUAAACACUCUUGUCCUUUUAAUUCCAUUAUUUUCUGCUUCAUCCCCCUUUCUCCGUAGUAUUAGUCAACUGUUUAAUAAUAAUCAUGAAUGAGGCUGGGAUUUGUUCACUUUAGAUGGACGGGAUGGCCUUAGGAGGUGUUGGUAAUUGUUGUUAUGCUAUUUCGCCAAGUCAGUAUUCAUGUCAUAAUUUUCAGUGUAAUUAUGUUAAAUAUAUUGUCUCUUAAUUAACAAUGUUAGUGGUCAGCAAGUCCAUAGCUUGAAUCGGCUGCUUGAAUACUGUCUAGUUUUGAUGAAGAUUGUAAGAGCGGUUUUGAUUUAUAGACUUAAGGGGAUACUUUGGGGUGUACUAUUGUGUAUAUAUUGGUAUGAUCCAUGUUUCAAAUACCUUUAUGUUCAUAUGAUUCAUGAGGUUCACACGAGUUUGAAUUCGAUUUGUUGUUUUAGCCUUAAUCUUUCAUUUGUCGCUAUUGUUCAUGUAGCUUGCUUACUUUUGUAGUUGAACAUUUUCCUUACUUUAGUCUUAACCCCUUUAGUCUGUUACCUGUAGUUUUGAACUCAAGAUUCAAUCUUUAUUUUUUUUAUUCUUUAUUUUUAUCACUAAAUCCUGAUUUCCGAAGAAUCCUACUUGCUAUGAUUUUUGAUUCUUGAUUUCACGUCUGAUAUUGUUCACGAUAGCUUAGAUCCAUAGUAAUAUGUUUCAUGUCAGCACCUAGUUUACUGUUUUAGCUAGAAUAUUGUAUGCUGUACUCUGUUGAUUCAUUAUUUGCAGUGGUUUAGGUUCAUUGUAGUUCUCUGUUGUGGUUUAGUGUGGUCUGACUCAUAGCUCUGAUUCAAUGACUCUUAACCCAACUCGGACGAGUGUAUCUUUCCAGAUUCAUUUCGAGUGUUUUUCUCCCUUUUGUUUUCCAUUCUUCACGAUUGAGGUCAUCUCUGAUAGGACUUGAACUUUUCCUGCCUCGUCAGUUGGUUUAAUCUUGCUGUUUUGAUUCACUGUGUUGUCUUGAUUUGUUAAAAAAAUAGUCGUUCUCUAGCAUUUUGUGUAAAGAUCUGCUGGUUUAAUUUAUGAUCUAAUUAUUAAUUUUGUUUGAUAAAAGAAGGAGGGUUGCUUUGUGACCCAAUGCUUGAUUUUUCUUUGAAAAGUUGUAACAUUGUGGCAUUUCCAGUUUAGAUUUCUAUGUUUCUUUACUUUGUUUUUUUAUGUAGUUAGUUUUCUCUAUUUUGGCUCUUUUGAAUUGAUCGUACUAUUCUUGUCCUGAGCCGGGGGCUGUGGGAAACAACCGCUCUACUUCAUCUGAGGUAGUGGCGCGGAUUGCUACACUUACUCCCUAUACUCCAUUCUGUGGGAAUAUGCUAAAAUCCAAAUGUCAUUAAGAAAUGGUUUUCUCUGUAAGUAGUUCUUUUGAGUCAAGGUCAAGAUUUUAUUUAGGAGGUUGUAGGUAUAGACUUUUUGUUCCAUCUACCGCGAAUGUUAUCUCUAAUAAAUUUGUGGUAAUUCAGGCUGUGUAAGGAGUUUUCUUUGUAAUCAAUUAAAGCUAGAACUACACCUUUCUCGACCUAAUAUGAUAGAAAUGGUGAUGUAUUUUGUCAUUAUAGUUCCUAAUCUUGGUGCUUCAUGGAUUUUUGAAUGAUAGUUAGAUGUUUUAUCUGGUUAAGUAUGGCUUAAGCUAAAGCGUCAAACGUGAAGGACUUGACUGUAUGCUACUUUAUCAACUGGUUUUUAAACAAAAUAAGGGAUGGUUAUUUUUGCUAACUUUCAUGGGGGAACAAAUGUUUGUCUUAGCUGAUUAAAGUUGAUUGUUGCGGCUCUUCUUGGCCUCUCUUUAAAUUGGUGGUGUGAGAAGUAUUUUAAUCAAAAUAAAGUUUCUUUGAAUGUUCCAUUGACGUCCCUUUAUGUGCAUUUGAUACAUGUUUUUCUUUGUUGUCUUACCUGCUUAUUUUAACAUAGUAUUAAUUCUUUGUACUUCAUNNNNNNNNNNNNNNNNNNNNNNNNNNNNNNNNNNNNNCUUUCCCUUAGAAUCUCAUAAUGAUCCAUUGAGGCCUGUCGCAUCGAGUCAAGCCCGAAAGAAGGCCUUAAGUAGACAAUCUCAUAGUGCACGGACGCAAGGAGUCCAAGGAAGAAGCACGGGUUAAAAUCCCGUAUUCGAAGUGGCUAAGAGACUUAAAAGUCUCAUUUAUUUGCUUAGUUAUUUAUCGUUGUCUUUAUGUAUUCAUUUCUUGGUUGUCUUAUUUCUUUAUUUUAUUCAUUCGGGCCACAAAACCAAAGUUGUAUUUAAUACAGGUGGAGUGAGAAUCGAGCCAAAAGGGGCUUGGAAACAUAGAAUUAGGACAGGUGAAAAUGGGUCAAAAACCCAACUAGAUUAGGACAGGGUUGAUGGUUUGGGCUUUAAAGCCUAAAUCACUACUUCUCCUCUUUCCCCUUUCCUUUUUGCUUAUUUAUUUUACGUGUUUCUUGCGAACCUAGUUGAAUCCCUAAUUAAGUCGCUAAAAAACUGAUUUUGCAAAAACUUUUUCCUAAUCAACUACUUUUCAACAAAUUAAUCUUUUUGAAGUUGGUCAAAAGACGUUUUUAAAUAGUCUGGAUCACCGCAAGUUAGCGGACGUUUUAGGUGCCUAACACCUUCUUAAAACGUUAAUAUGAACCUCUUACUUAGAAUCUUCAAAACUUGAACGAUUUUUUUGUUUUGGAUCGUUUAAAGUAUUUUAUAAAGGUUUCUUAAUUCCUUUUUCAAAAUUAAGUAGCGACUCUAAAUAAGUCAAAAUUUCUCCGCAAAACAGAAAUGACGACUCUACUGGGGAUUGUUUGAACUAGGUUCUAACCAAAUGUUUGAUUUUGUCUUUUGAUUAACUAUUUAUGUGUUCAUAUGUUUUGAUUCUGUAAAGUUUAACUAUCACAUCUCAUGGUAUAUUCCUGUAUUAUUUAAACUUUUUUGGGGUUUCGUGAAUGUCCCAGCCCCUGUUGUUCAAUUUCAAAAUGUGUUGGAAAUCGAAUGGCUUAUUAGCACGUGAGUCAUCUGAUGGUUGUUCGUAUUUUCAAACUCAAGUUGUCCGCUUGAGAACCAGUGUUCAAACCCACUCUAGACACAGAGGAUAGAACGAAACCAAAAUCCUAUUUUAGGCAUGAGCCUAGGACGUCCCAAUACCCGAGCGGGGUAUUGAGCCUAUUAGAAAACCUGCCCAGCGUCUAUUGACCCCGAGUCAAUUACAGACGAAUCAUAUUUAUGUGUUGAAAAAAUAUGUGCUUGUCUAAUUUAAUCCAUUACCCUUUGGGGUCGGGGGAAGGCUUAUCUUUAUUUGCUUUCAUGUAGAAUAUGGCUCAACUACAUUCCCACGAAAAGUUCAAGAUGGUUACUAAAACCGACAAUUUCUUAAAGUUAUGGUGGGAUCACAUGAGCGCAGAAGAGAGAAAGAUUGUUAGAACACACAUCGGGCAUCUCCCUUCUUUGAUCGAGAUGGACGCUUGGCCUGAAAUGAUCCAUGUACUAACAAAUUUUUGGGAUGAUCAGAAUAUGGUAUUUUGCUUUGAGGAUGUUAAAUUGACUCCUAUCAUUGAAGGGGUAUUGAUUUGUUACGAGAGUACUGAAAUGUGUUUUAAGAGAAGGGAGACACUUGAUAAGAACAUUUUAGUCCUAGUUGUGUGGGAUCGUCAAAAGAUCAAGGAGGUAUUUUUAACUGAUGACGACACCUGGCUAGGAGAACGUGAUAGAGCAAAUAUCACUUUUCAUGAGUUAAAUCAUCGGUUAGGAAGAUUCAAUGCUUUUCACAAAUUUGGACAUAAAUUUGAGUCAUAAGCAAAAUAGAGGGAGACGAGAGCCUUUGUAUUUGCGGUGGGCCUACUUGGAACCAUGGUGUUCCCACAAGGGGAAAAUGGCACAAUUCAUCUAAGUGUUGUCCCAGUGACCCAUGCACUCUUCUUUGGAAUGGAGUACAAUUCUAAAAAGAUAUUCCACAACUUAGCUCCCAUGAUUGUUGUAGACAUAUAUCGAGCUUUGGGAAGAUGUCAAGUCGAGAAUCAUUUCUUUCAAGGCUGCAACCUUAUAUUGCAAUGGUGGAUGAAUGAUGCAUCUGGUGAAAAAUCCUAGAACGGUACAACCCGAUUACAAAACAAGAAGGAAUCUGCUAGAAUCGCAUGACAUGUGGUUGUUCCUACACAAGUUCAAAACAGAAGCAUCUCAUGAAUUUUGGUUUAAGACUCUUGGAUAAUUAAGAGGUGACAAUGUGCAAUGGUCCAUUAACUACCUUCGUUUAGGGAAAUACACUAUUCAAGGGGGCGAGUGGCCUUUUCUAGUGCUUUUGGAUCUCAGGGGAACCAUCCCUACAAUUCCGACAGAGUUCUUAGGCAAUUUAAGAUCAAGCAGGAGAUACCUCAAAUCGACUCUAUGCUCAAAUUCUUCACCGAGUAUGAUGAAAGCGAGCCCCCGCUCAAAGACAAUAUGAUAAACGGAUGGAGAAGAAUAAGGUGGAUAGAAGUCUCUUUCCGUUUAGGGUAUGAACCCGAAGUCAGCGACACUUAUAAGGAUUGGUUAAAAAAAAGCCUCACCGAAGCAUUAAUUUCGGGGCCUAACGUGCCCACUCGGGUCGUGGAUGUAGAAUCUGAGCAUCAGAUCCGACUCCACGGGCUUCAAGAUAAGUUUUAGAAAAGUGAAAUCACGCACCGCCAGAUGCAUGUUGAGGGAAGAGUUGAAAAGAGCUGUAAGAGGCUGAUGAUGCUAGGUAGUAUUUAAUCGAUUUGGAUGAUAGCAUGGCCUCCCAACUCGAUAAAAUAGGAAAAAUGACUUACGACAGCAAGGCACAGUUAUGCGGGAGUCAUCUGAUCAUCAAUAGGUAUCAAAUAACACAGGAGGUGAACAAGGCAAAGAAGUAAAAGGCAGACAAAAGAGCCUCCAGUAGCUAGUUUUUCUAUUUCUCCUGCGUGGGAACUUAUCUUCUUUCAUGUUAUUUCUCUUUUUCGCUAAAGAUUGUAUCCCUCUUUUGUUAUAUUUUGUAGGCAUUUAUGCCCUUUUCGUGUCUAUAUAAGUUGGAGGAUAAUGGAUUGACUUUACGGAAGCAUAUAUUUUCUUCAAAAUCGUUAGGCUUGAACCCUGGGCUUAAAAAGGGUCACCCCAGUUAGGAUACACAUUAUUAUAAUGUUUGUCUAAUAUAAUUAUCUUAUGUGCUUAUGUAUGUUUGUUUGGAUCAAAGACAAGUUUAUCCACUAUGCUCCUAUGGAUGAAUUUGGAUAUGACUCAAACAACUCUACGUGGUUAUUUCUUGUCAAAUAUUUUGCAUUACUUAUCAUAUACGAAAACUAACACUAAAGCCUUUGAGUUAAUUUACUUUACAGAUAAUAGAAACUACUCCGUGUUGAUAUAAGCUGGCAGAACAUCCCUAAUUCACCCGGUCAAAGGCGCAUAAAAUCCCAUCCUCUGAUCAUCAUUCAAUAAUGACUGGAAAUGAUAAAGAAAAUGCAUUGACCAUCAGGGACAUGUAAUAGCGGAACAGAAUAAGAUGAUUGCAGAGCUUGCAAAGAAGUUAGAAAUGCUGUAGGAGGAAAUAAAUUGCACUCGAGAUUUGGCUAACCUGGCCAUCACCGUCAAUGCCUCCGCUCCAGGAGGACAUGAGACUCUACUCUAAAUUUUUCUCCUCAGUACACCAAUUCACGGGAAUCAGCCAAAUAACAUAUCAUCCAUCUCCGUUCCCCUAUUUGUCCAAAACACCAAUCGCAAAAAUAACCCAGAUGCCUACCAUCCGCAAAAUCCAUCUCUAACCCCACAAAACCUAUCUCCGAAUCAAUGUCCAAAUCCCCAGAACCCAUUUGCAAAUCAACAAAAUUCGUACCCAAAUCCAAAAGAUUCACUCCUAAAUCCACAAAAUCCAUCCCCAAAUCUUCCAUCGAAUCUAUCCUUGAAUCCACCAAAUUCGUUUCCAAAUUCACAAAAUCUUUCUCAAAUGCCACCAAACUACUCGCAAAUUCCACAAAACCUUUCUAAAUUUCAAAACGUCCUCCCCACCUACCAACCAACUUCCUUUCAUCUACAAAAUCAAGACUUCAUUCCAAAUUCUCCUUAUGCCAUCAUAUCCUUUGACAUGUAUAAUCCCCUUCCUAAUCCUGAGAUGGACUAUUACGAAGAGAAGGAGAAAGAGUGGAGGAACGAGCUUGAAAUGAAGUUGCUAGCUAUGAAUGAAGAGAUCAUGAGGAUCAAAGAAUCUCAUGGAGCAAGGGACCACGACGGUUUAGGGUACGAUGACUUAUGUGUUCACCCUGGAGUAGAUCUACUAGAAGGGUACAAGGUCCCUAAGUUUGAAGUGUUCAAUGGUACCGAAAACAUAAUGUCCCAUCUGAGAAGGUAUUGUGAUCAAAUGCUGGGGGUAGGGAAAAAUGAAGCAUUAUUGAUGCGUUUGUUCAGUCGGAGUUUAACUGAAAAAGCCUUAGAAUGGUUCAUGUCUCAGGAACUGAAAAGAUUGACUGGUUGGAGAGCAUUGGCCAAAGAUUUCCUUGACAGGUUCGCGUUUAACAUUGAAAUAGUCCCUGACCGAUAUUCACUAGAUCGGAUCAAACAGAGAAGUGAUGACUAUUUUCGAGACUAUGCUUUCCAUUGGAGGAAAGAAGCUGCCAAAGUGCAACCCCCUAUGUCUGAGAAAGAAAAGGUAUUUAUGUUCUCUCGCACUCUAGAAGGAGAAUAUUAUACCAGGAUGGUGUCCACUAUCAGGGAGACUUUUGUAGAUUUGGUAAAACUAGGAGAAUCGCUAGAAGAAGGUAUUUAGACAAGAAAAAUUACCAGGACCCCAACAUCGUCCGGGACUGCUAUGUUCUCGAAGAAGAAAAAGGAGGAUCUAGGCACGGUUUUUGUUGAUUCUAUGGCAAAAAUAAAAAAGAGGUUCAACUCUAGGAAUAUUUUCUCUUCUCCGCCGUCACCAAACUUUCAGCAUGUAUUCUACACUCAACCCCAAUAUCAAUCUCCACUCCCAAAUAUCCAACCCCAAUACCAAACUCCACUCCCAAAUGUCUAAUCACAAUGCCAAGCUCCACAGCCAAAUAUUUUUCCCUAAUACCAAGGUCCACCACCAAAUUAUCAGCCUCAUGUCCGAUCCACUCUUCCAAACAACCGAACUAACAUCUAAGCACCUCCAAAUUAUCAUCAAGUACCUUCUCCUGCAAAUCAGGACCAUUAUAACCCUCUGCGUCCAAAUAUGAAAAAGAAAUCUCCCUGAAACUUCACGCCGCUGGCUGAAAAUCGCACCCAACUAUUUGAAAGAUUGAAGAAUGUCGGUCAUUUGCAACCAAUCCAGCCAAAGCCUGUCAAUCCCAACUCCCAAUUUUAUCAUCCUAAUCAAAAUUAUGCCUAUCAUUCAAGAGCAGCAGGGCACAGUACCGAGGAUCGUUUUAUCAUGAAACAUAAGAUACAAGAUCUGAUUGAUCAAAAGGUUAUCACACUUUAGUCACCAACGCCAAAUGUCAACAGUAACCCAUUGCCUAAUCAUGGGGUACCUACUGUUAACAUAAUUGAAGUAGAUGGAGAAUGGGCUUCUGGCAAGACUAUUAUUAAGGUGAAUUCAGAAAAGUGCAAAAGGGCAAAAAAGGUAGAAAAGAUAGAGAGAGUUGUGGCGUCCUUAAGUGUCAAUGAGAAAGCCCUAUUUAUAGUGAUGAUGGCCCUGACUCAAGUGUAAACUCCCUCGCCAAGGAAGAAAUUUAUUAUACAGACCGCUGCUACCUAAGGGAUGACACGAUCGAGACGAUGCUACAUUCCUGAAGAAUUGACCAACAAAAAGGAUUAAUAGAAAAGGCCAAUCAUUGAAGAGGAGGCUGAGGAAUUUUGGAGGCAUAUGCAACCAAAGGACUAUUCAAUUGUCAAACAUUUAGAGAAGACUCCGGCUCAAAUUUUUGUUUUGGCAUUAUUAAUGAGUUCGCAAUACCACCGACAGGCUUUAUCGAAAGUCUUGUAGGAAGCGUACGUUCCCAUAGGGAUGAGUGUUGAGAACCUGGAUUUGAUGAUAAGAAAUUUUAUGGAAAGUCAUCGCAUAUCAUUCAGCGAUGAAGAGUUGUCAUUUGAAAGAGCGAUGCAUAAUAAGGCCUUGCACGUCAUUGUUAUUUGUCGAGACUAUAUGAUUAAUCAGGUAUUGAUAGAUGAUGGAUCUGGUGUGAACAUUUGUCCUCUCUCCACAUUGGUUAAAAUGGGCUAUGAAUUAGGAAAAAUUUUCCAAAGCCACGUAAAUGUAAGAGAAUUUGAAGGAAAACAGAGAGAUACCAUAGGUGAAAUUGAUUUACACAUCCAAAUGGGACCUGCUGAAUUCAAGACUAAGUUUCAUGUUAUGGACAUUCAUCCUAGUUACAACCUGCUCUUGGGAAGACCAUGGAUACAUGGUGCAAAGGCAGUUUCAUCACCUUUUCAUCAGUUAUUGAAAUUCAUUUGGGAGGAUCAUGAAAUAGUUCUCCAAGGGGAAGAAAGCCGAGCGAAUCAUCCCAAUAGUUAUGUGCCGGUGAUUGAAGAUGUUCCGAAGGGUAGUAGCUUCUAUACAGUGGAAAUUGUAAAUGCUGUGGAAGAGGAUCUAAUGCCAAAGCUCCAAUGCAUUCUGUCUAUAAAAUAAUUGCGUCUAUAAUAUUGAGAAAUAGGUUCGAGCCUGGUUAAGGUUUGGGUAAGAAUCUGCAGGGAAUUAUUGAGCCCGUUAUGAUCCCAGAGAAAGACUUAAGUAUGGGUUAGGAUAUCGGCCUACCAAGGAGGAUGAGAUUGAGAAUAAGUCAGAGGCAAGUAUGUUUAGGCCCUUACCGCUCAUGUACCAAUCAUUUCCCGUGCGUGAGAUAUCGAAUGAUGAUGGUCUUGGGGAUGGGAUAGGAAAUCUGUUCGAGGGAUGCAAUGCUGUACCUGAAUAUUUCCCAAAGUCCAGUGGGGUAAAGAAGAUUACACCAGGGGAGGCCUUGCAAAAUUGGACCUCCACUCCAUUCAUAACCCGUCACCCACCGUGGUAGAUGAAAGGGCAAUUACUAAUAGUUUUUUAAAUUGGUGAUGAUCCGGAGGAGGCCUCGCGAUCCACCCUUUACAUCUCAAUUUUUUUUCCGUAUUUUUACUGCUCUCAAAUGGCAUGGGCUUGUGUUUGCAUGAGUCAUGAGCCAUAGUUUGUAAUUAUCUCUCAAAUUUCAAUGAAAAGGCCUUCCCUUAUUUUGAAAAAAAAAUUAAAAUUAUUUUUAACACUACUAUUCAUAUAUUUUAUUAUUAUCUUGUCAUCAUCUAACUUGGUUUGUUUGUUUAUUACAGUAAUAGUAACUCAAAACCUACUAAUGUCAUGUCAUAUCAAAGCUUAAAUGAACAAAAUAAGGGGAAUGAUGACGAUUGGAAGGAAGGUCAUGAGAAACAAUUAGUUAAAGAUAUAGAGGAGUUUGAGAACCGGGAUAAGCCUAACCUAGAUAAAACUGAAACAAUCAACCUGGGAGAUCAUGAUGAAAUCAAAGAAAUAAGUAUUAGUGUCCACCUGGCGGAAGCACAAAAGUGAGAGCUCAUUCACUUAUUGCAAGAAUACAUUGACGUGUUUGCUUGGUCCUAUGAUGAUAUGCCGGGAUUGAGAACUAGCAUUGUGUCGUAUAAGUUGCCAAUAAAUCCUGAGUUUGAUCCAGUCAAGCAAAAAAUGCGGAAAUUUAAGCCAGAUUUAAGUCUAAAGAUCAAGGAAGAAGUGACAAAACAAAUCUAGUCUAAGGUUGUGGAGGUCAAAAAAUAUUCGACAUAGCUAGCCAAUACUGUCCUAGUGCCGAAGAAGGACGACAAGAUUCGACUUUGUGUUGACUAUAGAGACUUGAAUAGAGCCAGUCCUAAAGAUAAUUUUCCGUUGUCCAACAUCCACACCCUCAUUGAUAAUUGUGCAAAACAUGAAAUGCAGUCUUUCAUUGAUUGUUUUGCUAGGUAUCAUCAGAUAUUGAUGGAUGAGGAAGACGCAGAAAAGAUAGCUUUUAUUAUACUCUGGGGUGUUUAUCAUUACAGGGUAAUGCCUUUUGGUCUCAAGAAUGCGGUUGCAACAAAUAUGAGGGCUAUGAUGACAAUUUUCCAUGAUAUAAUUCAUAAAGAGAUUAAGGUGUACGUGGAUGAUGUAAUUAUCAAAUCCCAUGAGAGUUCAGAUCAUCUGACCUAUCUGGAGAAAUUCUUCAACAGAUUAAGAAAAUACAAUUUGAAGUUAAAUCCUGCUAAGUGUGAUUUUGGUGUGCCAUCAGGGAAGUUAAUAGAAUUCAUAGUCAGCAGGAGAGGCAUCGAGCUAGACCCAUCCAAAAUCAAGACAAUUCAGGAUUUGCCACCCCUGAGGACCAAGAAGGAGGUUAUGAGUUUCAUGGGCCAUUUGAAUUACAUUUGCAGGUUUAUUGCUCAGUCAACAGUUAUAUGUGAGCCAAUUCUCAAGAUGUUGAAGAAAAAUGCAUUGAAUAAGUGGACAGAAGAAUGUCAGAGAGCUUUCGACCGCAUCAAGGAAUAUUUAUCUGCACCACCGGUUUUGGAUCCGCCCAGAGAAGGAAUUCCAUUUCUACUUUAUCUAUCAGUCUAAAAAAAUGCUUUCGGAUAUGUCCUCGGGCAACAUGAUGAGACCAGUAGGAAAGAGAAAGCCAUCUACUACUUGAGUAAAAAGUUUACGCCAUAUAAAGCCUGUUACACUCUCGUAGAAAGAACACGUUGUGCUUUGACUUGGGCCACACAAAAGUUGAGGCAUUACCGGUUGUCAUAUACCACAUACCUCAUCUAGAGAAUGGAUCCAUUGAAGUAUAUAUUCCAGAAAGUCAUGCCCACGGGAAAGCUAGCCAAAUGACAAAUAUUGUUGGGUGAGCUUGACAUUGUGUAUGUAAAUCAAACGGCAAUCACGGGGUAAGCUUUAGCAGAUCAUUUUGGCAGAGAAUCCGGUUGAUGGUGAAUAUGAGCCAUUUCGAACUUAUUUUCCAGAUGAAGAAAUUUUAUUCGUAGGAGAAGACAUUAUAGAAAUUUACCCCGGAUGGAGGCUAUUCUUUGAUGGGUCGUUCAACUUUAAAGGUUCAGGAAUCAAAGCAGUUUUGGUGUCAAAAACGGGUCAACACUAUUCGAUAACUGAUGAUUUGUGUUUCCCAUGCACCAAUAACAUGUCCGACUAUAAAACUUGCAUCUUAGGUCUCAAAUUGGCACUUGAUAUGGGUUUUCGUGAAUUGCUAGUCAUCGGGGAUUCAGACUUACUGAUUCAUCAGGUACGGGGAGAAUGGGUAGUAAAAAAUUCCAAGAUUACUCCUUAUGUGGAGCUGGUGCAAGAAUUAUGUGAAAAAUUCAAAGAAUUUGAUUUUACACAUAUCCCAAGGAUACAAAAUGAUUUUGCUGACACUUUGGCCACUAUAUCCACUAUGAUUCAGCACCCAGAUCAGAGUUACAUUGAUCCUUUGGAAAUAAGCUUAAAGGAGAAACCCGCCCAUUGUGCACACAUUGAAGAAGAGCCUGAUGGAAUGCCAUGGUAUUAUGACAUCAAAAGGUAUUUAUAAUCUAGAAUAUAUCCUGAAGAGUCCAGUAACAACCUAAAGAAGACAAUCUGGCAUUUGGCGAAGAACUAUUUUCCAAGUGGAGAAAUCCGCUUUAGGAGGACUUCGGAUUUGGGAUUCUUAGGAUGCGUCGACACUGCGAAAGUCAAUAAAUUGAUAAAAAAGUACAUGCUAGAGUUUGUGGGGCCCAUAUGAAUAGGUUCUCCCUUGCUAGAAAGAUCCUGAGAGCCGGUUACUUUUGGAUAACUAUGGAAAAUGAUUGUAGUAGGUAUGUGCAGAAGUGUCCAAAAUGUCAGAUGCACGGAGAUUUGAUUCGAAUGACUACACAUGAGCUUCAUGCAAUGAAUUCACCUUGGCCUUUCGUAGCUUGGGGCAUGGAUGUUAUCGGACCAAUAGAGCCACUGGCAUGGAAUGGACAUAGAUUUAUUUUAGUUGCUAUUGACUGCUUUGCUAAGUGGGUCGAAGCUGCUUCAUAUAGAGCCUUCACUAAGAAAGUGGUUGUAGAUUUCAUCAGAAAUAGCUUGAUCUGCCGAUUUGGAGUUCCAGAAUCGAUCAUUACUGAUAAUGGGUCAAACUUAAAUAGUCACUUGAUGAAUGAUAUUUGUGAUCAAUUUAAAAUAGUGCAUCACAGCUCGACCAUAUAUCGUCCACAGAUGAAAUGAGCCGUGGAAGCUGCCAAUAAAAACAUCAAGAAGAUCUUGAUAAAGAUGAUCGAAAAUGAUAGAUCAUGGCAUGAGAUGUUGCCUUACGCUUUGCUAGGGUAUCGUACGACAGUUCGAACCUCCACCGGGGAGACUCCUUAUCUAUUGGUUUAUGGGAAUGAAGCUAUGAUACCUACUGAGGUUGAAAUACCUUCCCUAAAGAUUAUUCAGGAAGCCAGACUAAGCACGAAGAAUGGGUUCACGCUCGCUAUGAACAACUCAUGUAGAUUGAUGGAAAGAGAAUAGUUGUUGUAUGUCAUGGUCAGUUGUAUCCGCACAGGAUGGUUAGUUCCUUUAACAAGAAAGUAAGAACUCUAACAUUCGAAAUUGGGCAAUUAGUUCUCAAAUAUAUAUUUCCUCACCAAGAAGAGCACAAGGGAAAGUUCACUCCAAAUUGGAAAGGGCCAUACAUAGUUCGCAAGGUACUAUCUGGAGGGGCUCUAAUUUUGUCUGAGAUAGAUGGUCAAGAGUGGACCAAACCAAUCAAUUCUAAUGCAGUAAAAUGAUAUUAUGUUUGAACGACGUUCUAGUUUUUGUGUUUCCUUAGUUUACUUGUAAUUUCCUUUGUAGUAAUGUUGUUUUCUAUUGCGUAACUGCCUAGAAUCCCUUCCCUUUUAUGUACGAACUACGUUUGACCUGAAUUCCCAAGAAUGGGAUACAUAGGCAGCCUAUGUCAGCUUUGGUGAACCCCUUAGAAAAUUUUAUCCUUUCCCUUUAUGUAUGAACUACGUGAUGACCUGAAUUCCCAACAAAAGGGAUAUGUAGGCGGCUGAUGUCGGCUUUGGUCAACCCAUUAGAUUUUUGUAUAUAUCCUUAGCAUAGUCCUAAACUACGUUUGAUUGCCUAGGCGUCUAUGGGAGCAGGGAGCCAGGGUGGGGGUACCAACAUGAUGGAGUACCCAAAAGAUGGCGUGGAGCAAAUGGAGAAUCAAAGAAGGUCAACACGGAGUAGUUUCACUCAAACUAAUCAUUUUUCUAUGGAUGCAGGGACCAAUACACAAAAAUUAGAGUCUCUUUCAAAAAUCUCCGAGCAAAUUGGGAGCCACACCAGAGCACUAAUGCUCAAGAACGGUAUUUUUGGGUUGCCCUAAAAAUGGGUUUAAUACCCAUUUAUUAAGUACCUUUUGAAUUGUCCAUCUCAUUUUUGGAGAUCAUGGACGACAAACAAAAGUAUCUUGUCUUGUUUACAAAUAUUUAUAUUUAGAAUUGUUCUAAAAAAUAGUCGCUAGCAAAAACGACUUUAUGUCUACUAAUCAUCUACCUUGAGUACAGGUACAUGCAGAAAGCAAGACCCUGACAAAUGAAUUCAGGUGAAACUAUUUUUAAUUUACCAAGAAAGCCAUUGCAUAUCAUUGCUAAGAGGGCCAUUGCAUAUCAUUGCCAAGAGGGUCAUUACAUAUCAUUGCCAAGAAGGCCAUUACAUAUCAUUACCAAGAGAGCCAUUCAUAUCAUUGCUGAGAGGGCCAUUGCAUAUUAUUGCCAAGAGGGCCAUUUAAUAUCUAUUGACACACAAGACAUAAACGCUGGCGUCGAGGACAUCAUCAGCAUUUAAUAUCUGUUGACACACGAUACAUAAACCCUGGCAUCGAGGAUAUCAUCAUCAUUUUAUAUCUGUUGAUACGCAAGACAGAAAUAUUGGCAUCGAGGAUAUCAUCAUCAUUUUAUAUCUGUUGACACGCAAGACAGAAAUAUUGGCAUCGAGGAUAUCAUCAUCAUUUUAUAUCUGUUGACACACAAGACAUAAACGCUGGCAUCGAAGAUAUCAUAAGCAUUUAAUAUCUGUUGAUACUCUAGACACAAAUGCUGGUGUCGAGGAUAUCUCAUCAUUUUAUGAAUCAAUAUCCAAAUGCAUCAAGAGCACACGAUUUGAAGGGAUGCCUUUAAGUCGCUAUCUAAGGAUGAAUGAUAUAUAAAAUUUCCUAGAAAUUGAUAAUUUGAGGGUCAUCUAUAAGUCCUAUUAUUUAAAAUAGGGUAGUGUGAAAGAUCACCUAUGAGUCGAUAGCCUGUAAGUUAUCUGUAAGACACAAUAACAUCCUAACCGGAUAGUGUGCAAGAUCGCCCAAAAAUUGAUAGUCUGAAGGUUAUCCAUAAGUCGCAACUAGAUCCUUACCGGAGAAUAUGUAAGAUUAUCAAAUCGAUGAUGUCCAAGGGUUCUGUAUAAUCCGCAUCAUAUCCAAGAUCGAUUAUGUGCAGGAUUACCCAAAGACUAGAAAUUUGAGACAUAUUUAUGAGUCAUAUUGUCGGAUGAUGUGCAGAAAUACCAAAAACCUAGUGAUUGGAGAGAUAUCUGUAAGUCAUCUCUUAUCCAAAGUCGAAUAAUGUGCAGGAUUGCCUAAAAGCUAGAAAUUCAAAGGAUAUCUGUAAGUCGCCUCGUAUCCAAUAUCAAAUAAUGCUCAAGAUUAUCCAAAGAUUGACAAUUUAAGGGAAAGUUAUAAAUCAAUCAUCGGCUAUAACCGGAGAGGCUAUCAUUCCACAUACAACAAGAUAUAUAGGUGACCAAAAUGGUUUCCGAAUCAAUAUAAGAUUAUAUGGUUGUAGGGACUGUUCUAUAUAAAGUGUCAUCGGUGUCCAAAAGGGCUACCCCACUUUAAAGACAUAUUCAGCCGACAAAUAUCAUAAUUAUACAAUAACCAAGAGGGUUGUUAUGUUUAUUAUUUCUAGUUAUUUCCUUCCAAACAGGUAUGGAAGGAUGACUCCGCUUCUUAGGGAACAACUCACGUGGAGAUAUAGUAAAAAACUAUAUGCCUCUUUUGUGAAUUAUGUUUAGAACUAACACUUUUUGCUUGAAGCAUUGUCGAGAGCAUCCGAGAGGAUGAAAAUCUCAAAUAAAAACCAUAGGUGCGGACGACUCCAAAAAGGACGCAGCACAACGUGGAACUCUUUAUUAGCAGCAAAAUGGGGCAUAGUCUAGAGAGAGACGUCAAACUCUCUGGACGCGAGCUAAAGGAUGAUCACCACCACCAUCUAACCACACCCCUAUUAUAAGGAAUGUGGGUAUUUUGGGAUAAUCUGGUUUCAGCUUCACCUCUGAGAUAUUUUCUUAACUCAUACCGAGGGUAACCUUCUCUUUCUUUUAAAUUCGGCUGACAACAUACUUAGAGGUUUGGAAAUUAUGUCUGGGUAAGUUUUUGUCUAUGGGUGUGAAGGAUCCCACAUUCAUGACUAAGAGGUUACAAGCCUUUUUUUCGCAACUCGAUCAACUUGUCACUCAUCCCAAUCCAAAGAUUGUCUGAAAUAGAAAACUAUAUUUUCUACCAAUAGACUCAAACUACAAGCAGUCUGAUUCCUUGUGUCUCGGGGAUAUGUAGGCUGGGAUCUAUAUAGAAAACUCAACUGCAUUCUAACCUCCCCCCAAAUCCUACUAUUCCCCAGCUUUUCAGUUUUAUCAAAGACUCCAAAAAAUCGAGACAGCUUGUGACAAUCGUGCUUUAAAUCAUGCUUUAUGAACUACAAGUGGCCUGAAUUCUCAUGUAACCUAAGAUAUAUAGGAAAGCUGAUACUGAGGCCCGGCCAUAACUCUAUGAAACUCGUGCGAAGACCAACCUCUUUCAGAUUUAAAUUUGUGGUUGAACAAAAUUAGGAACGUCAACCUCCCUUUUCCAAGGGUUACUUGCAUCCACCCUAUCCAAAGGAAGGGAGCAGUUGUUGACACCUAAUUACCUAUCUGUGGAACAAGUAAGUAGAUGUGGCUCACAGAAGUAAGUACUGAACACAGUGUUUUUACGUGGAAAACACCCGGCUCAAGAAAGGUGUAAAAUACCAUGACCUGUACCUCUAUAGGACUUAACCCCAACUUUACUAUAAUACUUGAGCCUCAACAAUCAACAUAAUUACAAGACUUCUUGUAAACUAGGAAUUAAAACUUCUAACUCCUAUCACUACAAAAACACAAAUCUUCCCAAUAUAAGUGUUCUCAAGUCUUCGAGUUCCCCAACUUGAAGACACAAUUUCUAACUCAAUUUAUAGAUCACUGAGAUUAGAACAAUGACUCAUUAAAAAUCAAAGAACCUAUCUACUACACAUAGUCUACGACUUGCUAAGUAAGAGACCAGGUUUUUCUUCAAGUAUGUGAACUGAUAUGCUGAUUGUUGAUUUUCUUUUUAGUGCUUGAGUACCACGUCUUUUAGUUCCAUUUGCUGUAUUUAAGCCCUCCUCUGAUAAAGUCCUUUUUGAUGUCUACUUCUCUCUCCAGUAGGACUCUUAUCAAGUGACUCUUCUACUUGUUCCUGCCGCCUCUUUCUCUUUUAGAUUUAAUAGUACUCUUUAUUCUCUUAUGCUGGACUCCUUGAUCAACCUAACUUCUGCACUAUUUUAUGUUUCUCUUCAUCUUGACUAGGACUCUUUUGCAGAACUUCUUAUUCCACUCAACUUUUGAUGUGAUAGAUAUUAUCCAUUUUUGUUUAUAUGCAGAGACAUUUUAUCCAUAACUUGUCUGCAGCUUAGCUUUGUUCACUUGGAUGGACCAGCUUUUACAAUAUGUUUCAUUCACAUGUCUAUCAUCAAAACUCCACAUGUCCUAACAGUACUCUUAAAAUUGGAAAGUUCACUAAUUCUCCCACAUUGGUAGGAGAAGAAAACUUUGGAGUUUUUUUAAUAAGUAACACUAACUCCACAUGAAUAGAGAGGCAAGAACAAGGUGGUGCCUUACGCUAUUGUCGUCAUCGCUCGGCUCAAAUUUGGAUUUGGCGAUCGAUGAGAUCUAUCUUUUUAGACGAAUUUUAUUUGAAACUUGUGUUACAAGUGAAAAACUUAAUCCAAAAAUCUGAUAUAAUUCUCCAAGUGUGGGCGCAAUUUUUACGCCAUACAAACGCAUACGCAAUGCAUCAUGAAGGGAUGUGACCCUUUGAGGUAAAAGGCACACUAUUUUGCAUUGUAGGGUGACCUGCGGGCAGAGAUGAAGCACAAGUACGCAACCUGUGGGUGAAGAUGUAGUGCAGAAGCUACUGGAAAUUGUGAAACAUCACCUAUGCCGUAGAUCAGGCGCAGGUCCAGCACAGACUGAGCGCAGGGACGUGACUGCUACUGAAUAAGUGUCUUUCUGCUAAACCAAUGCAUCAUUUCUAAAAGGACACAUUUUAAGACUAUAAAUACCUGAUAUAUUCCUCAGUUAUAGACAUAAUUUUUUAUAGCAAAACACUCUUCUUCUAUACAAAAACUCUGUGUGAUCAUUAAGUUGUUGAGUUAGUUCGACGAAUCCAAUAAUUUGAGGUACCGCUAUUGUUUGGAUUGAAGGCCAUUUUAUCCUGGGAGGAAGAUUCCAUAACCUCGGGUACAGUGAUGGCAAUUAUUCCUUAAGGACACUCCAUGAAGUCGGGGGACUCAACCUUAAAAAUUCUGUUUCAUCUCAUUUCUGAAAUUUAACACACUUCUUGGAUAGACUAUUCAUAAUCUUGUGUUGAAGGUUUUAAGGAACUUCAUAAGUGUUCUUGUCUUAGACUUGAACUUGGGUUGAAGUUGUUGUUGCAUAUAUAUAUAGAUUCUUGUACCCGAAAACAUCAAAAAUAACAAUCUUAAGGAAUAAACUUUCGAAAUCUAUAUAGCUUAUUUUAUGGAGAUUAAAGCUUUAAGAUUUCUACUCCGUUUGAACUUAACUAGUGAUUUGAAGACAUAAAAUCUUCAUCACAAGUUAAAGAUCACUCGGUUGAUGAUUGGAAGUCAUAUAAACUGCAUCAUUAGACUAGAAACAAGAAGUGUUUAAAGUUGUUGCAACUUUUUAAUAAGUAUUUUGAUAUAAUAAGAGGUCGUUUGGUUUGAGGUAUAAAAAAUCCAAGGGAUAAGUUAUCUCGGGAUAAAAUAAAAGAUCACUUAAUCCCUUGUUUGGUUGGAGGGAUUAAUCCAACCCGGGAUAACUUAUCCCGCCAUUUUCCCCUUAGUGAAAGGAUAACUUAUCCCAUAUACAUAGUGGGAUAAAUUAUUCCGGGUAAUCUUGGGAUAACGAAUCAUGGUAUUAGUUAUCUCGGGAUAACAAUUUCCCAACCAAAUGACCCCUAAAGGUAUUGUCUUGUAGUGACAGAAAAAUGACGACUGAUAGUUAAAUGCGUGAUGCUGGAACAACUAUAGAGGCAACUAGUACUAUCACAAAGAGUCGUACUAAUGCUCCGUAAGCUAUGGCACUGAUAGAGAAACCUAAAAAGUUUGCAGGUAUUGACUUCAAAAGAUGACAGCAAAAAAUAUUCUUCUACCUCACAACUCUUUGUCUUUAAAGGUUCUCGUUUGAGGAAGCUCCAGAGGUACCCGAGGAAACCUCUGAACAAGAGCGCUUCGUAAUUGUGGAGGCUUGGAAACACUCAGAUUUCCUUUGCAGCAAUUACAUCUUGAGUGAUCUCCAAGAUGACCUCUACAAUGUGUAUAGCGGAACAAAGACUGAAAAAGAGUUAUUGGGAACGCUAGAAUGGAAGUACAAGACAGAGGAUGCCGGAACUAAAAAUUUCUUCAUUGCAAGAUUCCUGGAGUACAAAAUGAUAGACAACAAGUCUGUUGUUUUUCAAGUGCAGGAACUGCAGGUGAUCAUCCUUGAUCUCCUUGCGGAAGGUAUGAUUUUAACAAAUACCUUUGUUGAACAGUUUAAAUAUGUUCUUAGUAUUUACAUAAUCUUUGUUCUAGGUUUGAUUGUGAAUGAAGCGUUUCAAGUAGCAACAAUAAUAGAGAAGCUACCACCUAUGUAAAAAGACUUCAAGAACUAUUUGAAACACAAAUGUAAGAAGAUGUCAGUCAAAGACCUGAUUAUAUGUCUAUGCAUUGAAGAAGAUAAUAAGGCUGCAAAAAAAAGGUCAAGAGGCAAUUUUGUAAUGAAUGGAGCAAACAUUGUAGAAGAUGACCAAAACAACUCUAAAAAGCGAAAAAAAGCUGGAAAUGAAAGCAAUCAACCCAAAAAAAUUCAAGGGAAAGUACUUCAACUGUGGCAAGAUUGGCCACAAAUCUACGAAUUGUCGUGCCCCGAAGAAAGGAAAAAAGAAGGACCAAGCAAAUCUGGCUGAGUCUAAGAAAGAAAUGAAUGAUCUGCGUGCUAUGCUUUUUGAAUGCAACUUGGUGGGAAAUCCUCGCCAAUGGUGGAUAGAUUCUGGUAUCACCUACCAUGGUUGUGCUAAUAAGGAGUGAUUUUCAACAUUUGCUCCGGCUUAAGCAGAUGAAAAGAUAUACAUGGCAAACUCCGCUACUGCAAAAGUAGAAGGAACAAAAAAAGUGUGCUUGAAGAUGACUUCCGGCAAAGCGUUGACACUUAACAAUGUCUUGUAUGUUCCAGAGUUACGGAAGAAGUUGAUUUCAGUUUCACUUCUAGACAAAAAUGGAUUCAAAUGUAUAUUUAUUUCCAAAAAAACUGUACUUAGUAAAGGAGAAGUGUAUGUAGGAAAAGGCUACCUUAAUGAGGGCCUAUUCAAAAUGAAUGUAAUGAAUAUUAAAAUCAAUAAAAGUUCAAUUUCGUCCUACUUGCAUGAGUCUUACGAUUUGUGGCAUGGACGAUUAGGUCAUGUUAAUUAUAAAACAUUAUAAAAAUUGAUUAACUUAGAAGUUUUGCCAAACUUUGAGUGCAAUAAAUCAAAAAUCAAAGUAUGCUAAGCAUUUGUAUAAGUCCGUUGAAAGGAAUUCCAAUCCCUUAGACUUAAUCCACACUGAUAUUUGUGAUAUAAAGUCAACACCAUCACGUGGUGGUAAAAAGUAUUUCAUAAUUUUUAUUGACGAUUGCACUAGAUAUUGUUAUGUAUACUUGCCAAAUAGUAAGGAUGAAGCAAUAGAUGCAUUUAGGCAAUACAAAACUGAAGUUGAAAAUUAGUUAGAGAAAAAGAUAAAAAAUAUAAGAAGUGAUAGGGGCGGAGAAUAUAAAUCUUCCUUCGUCAAAAUAUGGGUAGAGAAUGGAAUUAUCCAUCAAAAUACGGCCCCGUAUUCACCUUAAUCUAAUGGAAUUGCGGAAAGUAAAAUCUGAACUUUGAAGAAAAUGAUGAAUGUCUUACUUAUAAGUUUAGGUUUACCGUAAAGCUUGUGGGGGAGGCUCUCCUUACAUCCAACUGAAUACUCAAUAGAGUUCCCCAUAAUAAGACACAAUUAAUUCCAUAUGAAGAAUGGAAAGGAAGGAAACCCAACUUGAAAUACUUUAAAGUGUGGAGGUGCCUAGCAAAGGUCCAAGUUCCUAUGCCAAAAAGGGUUAAGAUAGGACCUAAGAUGGUGGACUGCGUGUUCAUGGAAUAUGCUAAAAGUAGUAAAGCAUGUCGGUUUUUGGUUCAUAAAUUCAAACAUCCGGAUAUUAAUGAAAAUACGGUAAUUGAAUCAGAUAACGUUGAGUUUUUUGAAAAUAUUUAUCCGUAUAAAACUAGACAUGAACGGUCUAAUAGGGGGUCUAAACGACCUCAAGAUGAACCAAAUGAGAAUUUACAUAAUGAUGAGAAUCCAAGACGUAGUACACGUCAAAUAACAUCAACUUCAUUUGGAUCGGAUUUUAUAAUAUUUCUCUUAGAAAAUGAGCCUCAAACAUUUAAGAAAGCGAUGGGGUUUCGGACUCAUUCUUUUGAAAAGAGGCAGUCGAUAGUGAGAUUGAUUUAAUCUUAAGCAGCCAUACGUAGGAGUUGGUUGAUUUUCCUCCAGGAAAAAAACCUUUAGGUUCUUAAUGGAUCUUCAAAACAAAAAUAAAAGCGGAUGGUACUAUUGACAAAUACAAGGCGAGACUUGUAGUAAAAGGUUUCAAACAGAACGAAGGCCUUGAUUACUUUGAUACAUACUCGCUAGUAACAAGGAUAACGUCGAUUCAAAUGUAAUUGCCUUGACGGUGGUAUAUGGUCUUGAAAUCCAUCAAAUGGAUAUGAAAACCGUGUUCCUAAAUAGAGAAUUGGAGAAAGAAAUUUACAUGGAACAGACUGAGGGUUUUUUGGUUCCAGGAAAAUAAAACAAGAUGUGUAAACUUGUUAAGUCACUUUAUGGACUAAAACAGGCACCUAAAUAAUGGCAUGCAAAGUUUGACCAAACCAUGUUGGCUAACGGGUUUAAGAUUAAUGAACGUGAUAAACAUUUUUAUAUUAAAGACACUCCAAAUCACCAAGUCAUUGUUUGUUUAUAUGUGGAUGAUAUUUUGAUUAUCAGUAGAUACAUUUCUGACAUAAAUGCAACGAAAAGAAUGCUCAAGAGCAAGUUCUAUAUGAAAGACCUUGGAGUUACGGAUGUGAUCUUAGGGAUAAGAAUCAAUAGAACUCCACAAGGGUUGGCAUUGUCACAGUCUCACUAUAUCGAAAAGGUACUUGAAAAAUUUAAGUAUAUGAAAAUUGGUAUUACCAAGACUCCAUUGGAUGUGAGCUUUGCACUUUGAAAGAAUGAAGGUGAAAGUGACUCACAAUUAGAGUAUGCAAGAGUAUUGGGAUGUUUAAUGUAUAUAAUGAAUUGUACACGACCAGACAUAGCAUGCGCUAUAAGUAAGUUGUGUUGGUACAUGAUUAAUCCUAAUAAAACUCAUUGGAUGGCAAUGAAAAGAGUUUUGGGGUAUCUUAAAUACGCUCAAGACUACGCUUUGCAUUAUAAUAAAUAUCCCGUGGUACUUGAAUGAUAUAGUGAUCCAAAUUGGAUCACUAGAUCGAAUAAAGUAAAAUCCACGAGUGGAUAUGUAUUUACUAUCAGUUGAGGAACGGUCUCUUGGAAAUCUUCCAAAAAGACAUGUAUUGCUCGCUCUACAAUGGAAUUUGAAUUUAUCUCAUUGGAUAAAGCCGACGAAGAAGCAGAAUGACUCCAGAAUUUCUUGGAAGAUAUUCCUUAUUGGCCCAAACCAAUGACACUAGUAUGUAUACACUGUGAUAGCCAAGCGGCAAUAGGUAGGGCGAGGAGUACGAUGUACAACGAAAAAUCUCGUCAUAUAAGACGGAGACAUAAUACCAUUAGAGAACUUCUCUCUAGUGGAAUUAGCAUUGUUGACUAUGUAAAGUUAAAUAAUAAUGUGUCGGAUCCACAUACAAAAGGCCUAUCUAAAGAAGGAGUUGAGAGGACAUCCAAGGGAAUGGGUUUAAGGCCUAGGACAAGUCAGCAUGGCGGUAACUCUACCUAGCAGACUGGAGAUCCCAAGAGCCAGGUUCAAGGAGAUCAAACAAAGUUGUGUUUGACAGGUUCAACAUUGUCAAUAUACCAACUCAUUCUCAUGAUGUAGACAAUGUUUAGUAAACAAGGAUAAGACUUAAGGUGAAAAGUCUUUUAAUGAUUAUUUAAAUUUGGCAGAUUUGACCAAAUAGUUUAAUCUAUAGGAUUGAACAUUUAGAAAUCACCUAUGUAAGGGUGAAGUGGAAGCCGCUUCAAGGAGAAUGUUAGUAAUGACCUAUUCCUUAAGCUCUCAUGAAACCGGAUGUGUUGAUGGCUGAAAAGAACAAAACUGUGAGAACCAUAAGCAGUAAAAGUCUGGUUGUAUGAUAUAUAUUAUCUAGGUUUACAUCAAAGCUCGACGGUUUAAAGAUAUCAAAUCUACAGAUUGACCAAGUGCAUCUGAUGCAUAUUCACUACGGAAAGUUCCUACUUAUCCAGAUGCAAUCAGUCUUUGCUAAAUGAUCACAUAUUUGUUCGUAUCUUUCUUCAAAAGAUAGUCAUUAUCUAUUCAUGUGGAGGAUUGUUGGGUUCAAGGUGUAUAUGUGAAUGGAAAAUGGAGGGAAAAUGGUGGAGGGAAUAGAGACAACAAAUUAGAAAGUGUACUCUUAAAAUUGAAAAGUUCACUAAUUCUCCCACAUUGGUGGCAGAAGCGAACUUUGGAGUGUUUUUAAUAAGGAACACUAACUUUAAAUGGAUAGUGAGGCAAUAACAAGGUGGUGCUUCACACCGUCGUCGUCGUCGCUCACUCGGCUUCGGCUUCGGCUUUGGCUUCGAAAAAUGAUCGAUCGAUGAGAUCUAUCUUUUUAGACGAAUUUUAUUUGAAACUUGUUUUACAAGUGAAAAAUUUAAUCCAAAAAUCUGAUAUAAUUAUUUUUCUCCAAGUGCGGGCGCAAUUUUGACGCCAUGCAAAAGCAUACGCAAUGCAUCACGAAGGGAUGCGACCCUUCGAGGUAAAAGGCACACUGUUUCAAGCUGUAGGGUGACCUGCGGGCGCAGAUGCAGUGCAGGUAUGCGACCUGUGGGUGCAGAUGUAGUGCAGAAGCUACUGAAAAUUGCAAAACGUCACUUGCGUCCACAGAUCAGGCACAGGUCCAGCACAGACGGGGCGCAGGGAUGUGACUGCUACUGAAUAGGUGCCUUUCUGCUAAACCAAUGCAUCCUUUCUGAAAAGACACAUUUAAGGCUAUAAAUACCUGAUAUAUUCCUCAGGUAUAGACAUAAUUUUUUACAGUAAAAUACUCUUCUUCUAUACAAAAACUCUGUGUGAUCAUUAAGUUGUUGAGCGAGUUUGACGAAUCCAACAAUUUGAGGUACUGCUAUUGUUUGGAUUGAAGGCCAUUUUAUCCUGGGAGGAAGAUUCCAUAACCUUGGGUACAGUGAGGGCCAUUAUUCUUUAAGGACACUUUGUGAAGUCGGGCGACUUGGCCUUAAAAAUUCUGUUUCAUCUCAUUUCUGAAAUUUAACACACUUUUUGGAUAGAUUAUUCAUAAUCUUGUGUUGAAGGUGUUAAAGAACUUCAUAAGUGUUCUUGUCUUAGACUUGAACUUGGGUUGGAGUUGUUGUUGCAUAUAUAUACAGAUUCUUGUACCCGAAAACAUCAAAAAUAACAGUUAUUAAUUUAGAACUCAAUAACAAGAAGAUUAGAAUCCUGAAACCCUAAGCUACAUAUUCUGGCUCCGCCUCUGCUGUAAGCACAUGAAAAUUCUUUUGAACAAUAGGGCCGUGAUGAGACUCAGAAUUCAAAAUAUUUUUCGAUUUUACUUCCAUGUUAAAUUGUUCAAAUCUUCUAAACUACAUGUUUAUACUGUUGAUGCAACACUUCCACAAAAACAAUUUUAUCUGAAUAUGCAUUUGAUAUAUACUCAAGAGUACUUUAGAAAGUGUAUAUUUUCCUCAAAUGCAGGAAGAGGGAGCAAAUAUUACCGUCAAUUCAUUGCAUCCAGGUUUAAUAAUGACUCCCCUCAUGAGGCAUUCCACCUAUUUGUCGAGUAAGUACAGUGUCUUACUCUCACAAAAGAUUAGUUUGAGUACACUCAAUAAUUUUCUAGAGCUUUACUUGGAUUUUCUAUGACAGAAUUCAUUAGGAUUUUUUCUUUCAAAUGGAAGAAUGUUCCUCAGGUAAAUCACUAAAUUCCAGCAAGGUUUUUAUGUAAAGAUAUUAAAUCAAUAACCGUAUGUAGCAUAAAUUUAGAUGCAAUAUGCAGAUAUAAACACUUAGCUUGAGUUAGGAGUAAAAAAAUUAUUUAACUGAUGGGGCGUCAAUAGCCAUACGACGUACUCAAGAACAAAUCACCUUAGGGUUAUUUUUGAUAGCUAGGGAAAUCGGGUUGGUGUUGUAUAGGGAUUUACACAAGGUGUUCAUUGACCUAGAAAAGACAUGAUAAAGUCCUUAGCGACGUCCUUUGGAGAUGUUUGGAGUCUAGAGGUAUACCUGUAGUUUACAUUAGUGCUAUUAAGGACAUGUAUUAUGCAUCCAAAACUCGGGUUAAGACAGUGGGAGGUUAUUAGAAUUAACGUCAAGUACAAAUGAACAUCUAUUUGAUAAUUAUGAAGCUAGGGGAAACACUGAUUGGUAUUGAAAAUGAUUCUAUUUUAUAGAGGGCAGCUACAACUUGUUAUGUUGCACUGCAUCCAAGUCUGAAGGGGGUCACUACAAUGUUCUUCAAUGACUGCAACGAGUAAGAGCCAAGCAAGCUAGCACACAACGAUUCACGUAAACUUUGGGAUUUCAGCAACAACAUGAUCAAUAAUUUGAAUGCAAUUCCUGAGUGAAACUGUUUUAGAACUGUGUUUGAGUUGAGCUUUUCUUGUUCUACUUCCAAUCUGUGUGGCCUUUUCUAUCUCUCUUUUUGGCCUGUGAUUUGGUUAUCAGUCACUGUAAACAUAUUCCAAUAGAGACUCGGCUCCUGUAGUUUCUUGUCCUUUGAUUUCUGUUACUAUCUUUUGUUUCUUGUACUUCAAUUAUCAUAUUAUUUUGUGUAGUUGUUGUGCAGAAUGCUUUGUAUGCUUUCACUUCUGCUUAUCUUUCUUUUUCUUUUUUGAGUUUACAUCUUGGAAUGUUUUUACCUUGAGUCGAAGGUCUAUCGAAACAGUCUCUCUACUUCUGCGAUAGGGACUCUAGGUACACUCUACCCUCAUACUAACAAAUUGAAAUAGAGGAUGUAUUUUUGUUUCCAAAUGUAUCAUGAGAAAAAUGGUUUUCUAGCCUUUUACAUUUUCUUUUAGUUACUACUAGUAUUAGUACCCCCGCGAUGCGCGAUCGAUAUUAAAUGAAAUUAAUUAUAAAAAUUAUUAUCUUAUUCAAUAUAAAAUUUAUUCAAUAUCGUUCACAUAUUGGAAAUUAAUAAAUUUAUGAAAUACGAAAAAUAACUAUUAAAAUAUUAAACUUAAUAUCAUAAUUACAUAAAACUUAAACAUUUCUUUUAGAAAGUUAGUAUCCGCGUGCAAAUAAUAUUAUAUUGUAAUAUAAUUAUUUGAGAAUAUUAAAUAAUAUUGUGAUCUAUAUUGAUUUAUUUUGUAAAAAAAUCAUAUGAUUACAAAAGAAAAUGCAUAUUUAACAUAUUUAUUAUUAAUUAAGUGACCUACUUCUAAAUUUGGUUAGAAAAACAAAGAACUAAUGAAAGAUAAGUUUUAGAGUUAUGCACAUGAGACUUCUUUGUAAAAUGUUGACUUGAAAUUUAAAUUCUUUUAUAUUAAAUAUUUUAAUUUGCACCCUUUUAUCAAGAGGAAGAAAUGAGUUUCCCCUUCUCUUUUCUUGUCUUAAUAGAUUUUUCUUUCAUAGUAGAUUUUGUAUUCCUUUGCACAUUCUUAGCCAUAGUAUAUUUUUUUAUAAAUUUACAAUAUUUUUCCAUCAAGGCAAAUAUUUUGAGCAAAGUCUUGAUAGUAGUCAAUUUUCCCUCUCUCAUAAUUUUUACUAUCAUUUUUUCAACAAAUAACUUAUAACAUUAUCUAAAGUCCUAACUUGUUUGCACGAUUUCACAAUGCUCACUUAUUCUCUUAUGAUAAUGGAUGGACCAACAAAUAUUAAUGAAUCUUAUUGUAUAUUAUUUUUUCUCAUAAAUGGUUUAGUCCGUCAUAGGUUUGAAUAUUCACUCUUCAACUCCAUUUUCGAUCAACCCUAUCAUACUUUCUCAGUUUACUCAUUUUGAAUGAAGUUAUAAAUAUUAAUCACUAUCGAAAUUGAAUCCUCUCCCAUCUUAGAACAUUCAACUAAUAUUUAACCCAUCUUGUUCAUCAGUACAAUAAGAUAUCAAUCUUAUUUAGUUUUAUCCUUUAUAUUGUACAAAGUAGAUCAAAAUAAUUAUUGCACCAAAAGAUCUACAAUAUUCUUAAAUUAGAGUUACAAAUAUAAAAAUAAACAUGAUUGAACUCAUUGCCAGUUUAAAUCAACUAAAAAAAAAAAAAUAAGAAAGUUUGUAGCAUAAUGUUUAUAAAUAACAAAUGAUAAAUGACCUUUACUUAGCUUUCACAUUAGUACAAUAUGCUACGUAAAAGUACAAUAAUAUUUGUAGUAAGAAUCUAAAUAUAAUGAAUUUGAAAAAAUCAAUAUUCAUAAGUAUUUGAUUUAUUGAAUUUGAGCAUUGCCCAUUGAGCAUCAGCGAUGAGAUACUCACCCAAAUUUUGAUUUUCGAGAUAUAACUUUUGAGAUAGUAAUCCUAGUGUCGGGUAAAUUUCAUAGAUAGUUAUACAACUAUCAUUUUUUUUACUAAGGUCACUUAACUAUCAUUCCCAAUUCAAUAUCACAAAACUUCUAAUAUACUAUUAAAAUCACACAAUUUAAUUUACAAAUUAAUUGUUAAUCAAAACAUAUAGAAAUAUAGUACAAACAAAUCAAGUGUUAAUCCUAAUAUAUAAAAAUAUAAUGGAUUAGUAAUUUAGUAUCAUAGUUUAUUAAUUUUUGAAAUCAUAGUAUUAUCUUACUAAAAUCUAAAGCAACAAUAUUUGCAAUGCAAGAAAAUCAACUACCUAAUAUCAAUAUUAGUUUCUUCAUAUUUAAUAUAUAAUGUGUAAUUUUUUAUAUUAUUGCUAAAAUUCUCAUUACACAUUUCGAUCAAGAUAAAUUUUUAUAAGUCUUUAAAAAUAUAUAACAUAUUAAAAGAUCACUAACUUAAAUCUUCAAAGAGUACAAAUUAUAUUUUUUUAUAAAAUAUAAAGUACAUGACUAUUGGCUCAUAAAAUUUUCACCAAACAUGUAGAAAAUAAAAUGAAUAUGCAACAUAACUUGUAUAUUUAGUUGACUUGAUAAAUCAAGAAAAAUAUAUUCUAAAACAAUACUCAAAGUAAAUUGAGAUUCUAGCGAUUAUCAGGACAAGAUAAGUUGUGGCAGAAAUCACUUGCACAAUUCAUCUUCUCCAAAAUAUUAUGACAGAAAUUAAUUAGCGUUUACUAAGUGUAGCCUUCUUAUAUAGUGGUAAAUUGUUAUGACAUUAGAACUUCUAGAUUAAUUACAGUUGGUACAAUAUUUUCAUAUAUAUGUAUAUAAUUGUUAAUUGAUUAUUCAUUUUCUAUUUAUAUGUCUCAAUCAAUUUCGUCAUGCUUUCUUAAUUGACUUACAUUGAAUGAAAUCAUAAAUACUUUUUGUCAUAUAAAUAUUCAUUUUAUGUUAGUACUUCAAUUGCAUAUAUUCUAAUUUAUUAGUAACUCACACCUACAUUUCAUCAUAUAAAAAUUAUUAUAAAUUUUUAUUGAUAUUUUUAUUAUUAAGAAAUAUUUAUUCCUAAUUCAUUUUACUGAUCUGCACAUUUAAAUUUUUAUAUAAGAUUUAAUUAAUUUUUGUUCAUCAAAAUGAAGUAUCUUUUUCAAAUUUGAUUAUUUUAAAAUUCGAAGUUAUUCUUACAGGCAUAUAUAAGGUUAUAUAAUUGGUCAAUUAAAGAAUAACAUUGUAAGGCAAAAUUUUAUUUGACUUCAAAUAUUAAUUAGGGCUAUGUAAUUUUAGUGGUUAUUUUCGAUAAACAUUAUGCAAUCUUUUCUGUGUAGUAAUAUUUAUUUUAAUUUUUUUAAUAUUUAUUUAUUUUUAAUCUACCCUCCUUUUAAAUUUAUGACUAUCUUUUAUUCAUUUCCUAAUAUAGAAUGAUAGUGUAAUUACUCAUUGAUAGUUAUUCUUAAUUAUGAAAAUCCUUUCAUUAAAUAUGAAUGUAUAUUGUUUUAAAUAUAGAUUAAUUAAAAUAUAUCGAAUGAAAAUCCUUCCAAUAAAUAUGAAUGCAUAUUUUUUAAAUAAAAUAUAUUGAAAUAAAUUUCUUUCAUUUUGUAGUCCAAAGUUACCAUUUGAGUGAUCACAUCUUUUUCAUAAUAUUUUUAAUUUUAGAAUAACGCUUUGAUUAUUAUAUAUUUAUUCCAUAUAAGUUGUUUGAUUACUAAUUGUUAUUCUCUUAAUUGAUAUUUCUUGAUACUUUCUUGAUUUAGUCAAUUGUAAUCAAAUCAUAAUUAUUCUUUUUUAUAUAAUAUUGUUAUUAAAAUUAAUUAUAAACACAUUUUGAGUGAUGACAUCUUUUUCAUAAUAUUUUUAAUUUUGGAUGGACUUAUUUUUCAUAAUAAUCUUUUUCAUAUAAGUUACUUGAUUAUUAAUUAGUUAUUCUCUAAUUGAUUUUCUUGUAAUACUUUCUUGAUUUAGUCAAUUGUAAUCAAAUCAUAAUUAUUCUUUUUUAUAUAAUAUUAUUAUUUAAAUUAAUUGUGUAUAUUUUCUGAGGGAUAACAUCUUUUUUCAUAGUAUUUUUUAAUUUUGAAAUGACUUUUUUAAUAUUAAAAUAUAUCGAAUGAAAAUCCUUUCAAUAAAUAUGAAUGCAUAUUUUUUAAAUAAAAUUACUUGAAAUAUAUUGAAAUAAAUUUCUUCCAUUUUGUAGUCCAAAGUUACCAUUUGAGUGAUAACAUCUUUUUUGAUUAUUUACUCAAUUAUAGUAAAAUCAUAAAUAUUUACUUUUUAUAAUAUUAUUAUUUAUGUUGUUUAAAUUAAUUGUUCACAUAUUUUACGGAAUGACAUCUCUAUUGAAAUAUUUUUUAUUUUGGAAUGACUUUUUGGUCAUAGUUAUUUUUUUCAUAUAAUUUGCUUAAUUACUAAUUGAUUAUUCACCAAAAUAAAUUUUGUUGCCAACAAAAUAGAUUCUUGUUGACAAAAUACCUACCAAGUGGCUAGUUCUCAAUAUGUCACUUGGCUUAAUUUUAGGCUAACUUCAUUACUUUAUUAUAUAUAUAGAUUACUCAAUUGUAGUAAAAUCAUAAAUAUUUACUUUUUAUAAUAUUAUUAUUUAUGUUGUUUAAAUUAAUUGUUCACAUAUUUUACUGAAUAACAUCUCUAUUGAAAUAUUUUUUAUUUUGGAAUGACUUUUUGGUCAUAGUUAUUUUUUUCAUAUAAGUUGCUUGAUUACUAAUUGGUUAUUCACCAAAAUAAAUUUGUUGCCAACAAAAUAGAUUCUUGUUGCCAAAAUACCAAGUGGAUAGUUCUUAAUAUGCCACUUGACUUAAUUUUAGGUUAACUUCUUUGUUUUAUUAUAUAUAGAUGUGAGUCAAGUCAAUAAUACGUGAACAAGUAAACAUCAAGUAGUGAUAGAAAUUGAGGGAUUAGAAACUAGUAGAAUGGUUCUGCUAAUACUUUAGGUGAUGGAGAGAAAUUAAAACAAUUUAGAUGUUGGUUUAAUGAAUUGUGAAUGGUGAUUUGCAGGUGGGAAAAAAAAUAUUAAAGUUGUUCCUAGUAUUUUUUUCGUCUUGAUUAAUUGAUAAUGUGUCACUUGUAUAUUUUUCAUGGUUUUCUCCAAAUUGUAGAGAAUAGAAGAAGAAAGGUGUAAUUGGAAAGACCUUCUGCUAGCCCAAGAUCGUUAACUAAGAUCGAAAGAUUCAACUAAAGAAGAGGAAGCUAUGAAAGUAGAAGGACGAUAUUGAAUAAGAGAGCAUGGGUAUAGAAUAAGACUACUUUAUAUGCUUUGUAUUGGAUUUUGUUUUUGGAUUAUGUUUUUGAUUGGUUACAAAUGCCUAAUGUCAUCCCCUAUUUAUACUUGUGUAGGGAUGAUUCUAGAUACUACAAAUCUAGAGUGUUCUAUGCUUUUCCACAAAUAUCUUCCUCAAAUAUUAGCACCCUCUAGUAGCUUGAUCUUUCAUAAAUACAAAUAUCAAAUAGACUGCACUAUCCUUUUCUAGAUUUUUCUGCCUAGAAUUACCUAGAAUAUUUAGAUAUUUCUUCAAGUUGAUUAUCCUAAACACUACACUAGACUAUUCUAGAACCUUAACUAGAAAUGAUCUCAAAAAAUCUACUUUAAUAUUUUCACACUCCCCCUUAAAGUAAUUUUUUGAAAGCUACCCUGAACUUGUCGCGGAAGAACUCAAACGAAGCUUUAAACCGCGCAUUAAUGAAAAUCUUAGCAAUUUUUGCAUGACUCCUCUUGCUUCUAUAAAUGAUAACGAUUUUUUGUUCAUAAUCGACCCUGCGAAGAAACAAGAAUAUGUAAUGAUAAAAUUUCCAUCUUUGUAGUGUACUGGCUUGAUGAUAGUCCUCGUUUGCCUUGGCGAACCAUAUGAAUCAUCUCUUUGCCAAAUUUUAUGUUGUUGAGUUUCUUGGCUCCCCCUUUCUCUUAACUCCUUGACAACUAUAUUAUUCAGAGAGACACCUAUAAUAGAAAAGUUAGAAACUCUAAGGUUUAAUUUUUGUAUUACCUUUCCUUCCAACACAACUCCAUAAUAUGAGGAAAUUUCAUCAAUAUUAGCUACUUCAUUUGAGUUGGUGAUGAUCUGAUCAUUGAUUCUCUUCGAAACAUCAUAACCAUCAGAGGGUUCACCACCAGUUCCUUUCCAACUCCUCAACAAACUAUCUAGCAGUUUCAUACAUUUCAAAAAUCAUAUGCUCUGUCUCUUUAUUUGAGAUUGAGACUUCAAGGUCAGCUUCUUCAUUUAUUUGAUUUUUUUCUUCUUCACCUACUUCUGGUGUAUUCUCUACGCUAGUGAGAGACCUUUUAUGGUAGAUGAUUGAUCAGAGACGUCAACUUUCAUUAUAUCUCUCUCAAUGUUUUCUCCCAAAAGGUCACCACUGGCAUGUAUAGUUUCAGACACUGCCUGCUCAGGUUCUAUCUCAAUAUCUUCGAAAAAGGUUCAAAAAUACCCUUGAACUAUCUGAAAUAGAUCAAAAAUGCCCCUCGUUAGAUAUUUGGCUCAAAAAUACCCCUCCGUUAAAUAUUUGGCACAAAAAUACCCCUCCCACUAACAGAAUUCGAAAAAGGAUCAAAAAUACCCCUAAACUAUUUGAAAUGGCUUAAAAUACCCCUCUGUUAAAUAUUUGGCUAAAAAAUACCCCUCCCUUUAACGAAAUUCCACCAAGCAUGCCACCUAGAUAAAAAAAAAAAAUACGUGACUAUGCCACAUUACCAUCCACAUGUAAAAUGUUAGUAUUUUUUAAAUUAUAUGACAUUCCUUUCUUCUUUAUUUUUAUUUUUAUUUUUUUGCAAAGCAGUGAAACGGAAAAACCAAAAAACCAAUCUUUUGCUAAUUACUUCAUUAGUGUUUUAAAAGUUCUAGAUUUCACCUUUUAUCUAGUGUUUUAAAAGUUUUAAAUUUCAUCUUGUUAUUGCCGUUUGGGAUGAGGGACAACUUGAUCUUGAUCUGAUGUUGACUCGGAGGAGGAGCUAGAAUUUUAACUUUUAAGCUAGCAAAUGUUGAUGUACUAAUAAUUGAGUUGAAUUUACUACAUGCAAAUUCUUUUUCAAAAUAAAUGAAUUCCUUUUAACACUUGUUUAAUCAUUCGAAAUGAAUUCAUUUUUCUAAAUUCAGUUUUGAUGAAUAAUCUUAUUAUUUUUAGAACAAGUUUGAAAAGAAGUAAAAUGAUACUUAAUAUGGAUAAAUUAUUAUUUAAUUAUGUCAUUCGUUAACUUUUUGAAGAUGUGUGCCACAUUCAAAGAUUCAUUAAUUUUAGAUUAGAGAAGGUAUUUAUUAAAUCAUUAUAACAUAAGCAUUUCGAGUAAAAGCUAGCAAAGCCAAACACAUCUUUUGAGUAACUAAUUUGAAGUUUAUUUUGAAAUUUGUUACUUUUAUGAGUAAAUCUUAAUUUUAACUUUUAUACUGGCCUAAUAAUUAAUGGUUUUAUCAGUUUAAUAAGGCUCUUUUGUUGGGUUUCACACUUUUAAACCUAUUGACAGGAAAAAACUUGCUUUUUAGAUGAUCAAAGGAAUUUGAUAAUAGCGAUGUUACAUUUAAUAAAUUUUUUCAAAAAAAAUAUUAUGUAACCACUGUUUGUCUACUUUGAUUAAAAAUGAAAAAGCCAUGUAAAUUUUGUCCGUUUCACUAACGUUUUUAAAUAAAAAUAAAGAAGAAAAGAAUGUCAUAUAAUUAAAAAAUACUAACAUUUUACAUGUGAAUGGUAAUGUGGCAUAGUCACGUAGUUUUUUUUAUCUAGGUAGCAUGCUUGGUGGAAUUUCGUUAAGGGGAGGGGUAUUUUUGAGCCAAAUAUUUAACAGAGGGGUACUUUUUAGCCAUUUCAGAUAGUUCAGGGGUAUUUUUGAUCCUUUUUCGAAUUCCGUUAGAGAGAGGGGUAUUUUUGGGCCAAAUAUUUAACGAAGGGGUAUUUUUGAGCCAAAAAUUUAACAAGGGGAAUUUUUGAGCUAUUUCAGAUAGUUCAGGGGUAUUUUUUUAGCCUUUUUCGCAAUAUCUUUCAUGUUCAAACUUUUGUUGAUAAUUUCAGGAUCUGCUUCUUUGAUUUCCUCGAUAGCAGAUACCACAUUUUUAGUAUCCCCUGGUUUUUUAUCAGUGUCUUCCUUCUUCUCAUGAUGGAUUGUAUCAUAUACGAUCCAAUCUCUUUCAAAUUUUAUGGAAGCCAAGGCAUUUAUUGCUCGACUCUCAGCUUCUAAGCAACUUUCCCAACCUUCUUCUUCUUCAAUAACUUUUUUAGUAUGAGCCAUGUUGCUCUCUGUGGCUCGACAAUAUCUUCUUAUAUGUCCUGCUUUUCCACACCGAUAACAUGUAAGAGCCUUCUUAGUAUAAUUGUUAAUAGAAUCUUCCUUCUUUCUAGACAGACUUGAACCACCUAAGAAUUUAUAGUGAGGCAUAUCUCUUGCUUUUCCUUUAAUGUUCCUCUUGUCAUCUAUAAGAGCAUUUUCUUUCCUUUCUUUGACAAAUUCACCAGCCAAUUGUUUGGCUAGUAACUCCUGUGCUGACAAUAAAUUCUCAAAUUCCUCCAAGAAUGGUUGUUGAUCCCAUUCUUGAAUUGAUGUCACAAAGAAAAUAUAUUAUGACUUCAAACCAUGACUAAUAUUUCUUCUUAUUCAUGUUUCAGAGAUAGCCUCAUUCAGAUUUAAUAGAGAGAUCUCAAAACAUAAAUUCUUAAUCCUUAAGAAAUACUCGACAAUAGAAAGAUUACCUAGAUUGGUGUUGACUAGUGCCUCAUUCUUUUUGUUGAAUAAUUGAUCGAGGGUCCUCCAUAUUUCAUGGUCUGAUAUGCAUCUUAUAAUAUGAUUGAAUAAACUAUAGGACAUGGAUCUCUUCAAAAUGAACUCCGCCUUCGCAUUAGUCUGGUUCUACUUCUUAUAUGCACCAUGAUUUUUUGUUCGUCGUCAGGAGGACUUGUAUUACUUUCGUUGAAAAUAUCUCACAAGUCCUCACCCACAAGGUAUGAUUCCAUACAUCUCUUUCAUACCUUAUAAUUGGACUGAUUUAACAACUUCAUUUCCAGUCCAUUACCACGACCCCUAAAAUCCAUUCGCACAAACCAGUUGAAUCAACCACAAACUCAAUCUUGAAAUAAACAUAAGUUAAUCUACGACAUUGGCUAUGAUACCAUGUAGAUAAUAACAGAAGACAGGUGUAAUUGGAAAGACCUUCUGCUAGCCCAAAAUCGUUAACUAAGAUCGAAAGAUUCAACUAAAGAAGAGGAAGCUAUGAAAGUAGAAGGAUGAUAUUGAAUAAGAGAGCUUAGGUAUAGAAGACUACUUUAUAUGCUUUGUAUUGGAUUUGGUUUUUGGAUUAUGUUUUUGAUUGGUUACAAAUGCUUAAUGUCAUCCCCUAUUUAUACUUGUGUAGCGAUAAUUCUAGAUACUACAAAUCUAGAGUGUUCUAUGCUCUUCCACAAAUAUCUCCCUCAAAUAUUUGCACCCUCUAAUAUCUAGAUCUUUCCUAAAUACAAAAAUCAAAUAGACUACACUAUCCUUUUCUAGAUUCUUCUACCUAGAAUUACCUAGAAUAUCUAGGUAUUCUUCAAGUUGAUUAUCCUAAACACUACACUAGACUAUUCUAGAACCUUAACUAGAAAUGAUCCCAAAAAAUCUACUUUAAUAUUUUUACAAUUAUUGUUUCUAGGUGACAACACUAUGUUUCUUCCGUUUCAAAGAGAAUGACCUAUUUUGACUUGGUAUAGAGUUUAAGAAAAUAAAGAAGAUUUUUAAAUCUUGUGAUCUUAAAUUAAAGUUAUAUCAAAUGUACCAAAAUAUCCUUUAAUAUUGCGGUCUUAAUCAUGUUCUGUAGAAAGUUAAAAUUAAAGUAUUAUAAAAAAAAGAGUCAAGUUAUUUCAUGGGUUUUAUUAGUACUUCUCUUACCAUUUUUUAAAAUUAUGUGAAUUUAAUGAACUAAUCAUUACGAGGUCAUGCUUCCUUCAGCAUCAAUAAACCCUUUCGAUACAGAGAAUAGCAGAAGAAAGGUGUAGUUGGAUAAAACUUCUGCUACCCCAAGACCGUUUAACUAAGAUCAAAAGAUUCCACUAAGAAGAGGAAUCUAGAGAGAAGAGGCUUUGUUAUGGAAGAAGACUUCUUGAAUUGGAUUAUUUUUGGUUGGUUACAAAUGCUUGAUGUUAUUCCCUAUUUAUACUUGUGUAGGGAUGAUUCUAGAUACUACAAAUCUAUAUUAUUCUAUCCUCUUCCACAAAUAUCUAACACUCUAGAAUAUCUAGAUCUUUCUUAAAUACAAAUAUCAAAUAGACUACAUUUUCUAGAUUCCUCUACCUAGAAUUACCUAGAAUAUCUAGAUAUUUCUUCAAGAUGAUUAUCCUAGAAAUUAGACAAGAUAUUCUAGAAAUUUUACUGGAAAAACAAUGUUAUCCAAAAAAUCAACUUUAAAUAUUCUUCAGACUCCCCCUUAAAUUAAUUUUUUGGAAGUUAUCCAAACUUUUUAUAGAAGAACUCAAUCGAAUCUUUUGAACGUGACUUGGUGAAGAUCUCAAUAAUAUUUUUCCAAAUCCUCUUUCUUCUUGAUAUGAUAAAGGUUUUUCAUCAAUAACUGAGCCUAAAAAGAAACAUGAAUAUUAAUUGACAAAAUUUUCAUCCUUGAAAUAGGCUAGCUUGACAAUAUUUCUUUGUGGUUUAAAAUCGAACAAAAAAUAUCUCCUUACUGAAUUUUCGAGCUCCCCCUUUCUUUUAACUUCCCAGUAGUUGUACUAUCUGAAGAAACAUCUUUAAUGGGCAUGUUUGGAACUCUAAUGUUCAAUAUCUUAGAACAUGCUCCUUCUAAGGAAACUAUAGGAUGCAAGGAGAUUUCAUCUGUACCAUUCUCCUCAUUUGAUUUGAUGACAAUCUGAUCAUUAAUUUUUCGUGAAUCCUCAGUACCAUAAUAGGAUCCAUCACGAAAUUUCCUAUCUAGUUCUUCAAUCAUACUAUGUCUCUUUUCAUCUAAAAUUGAGGUUUCUCUUUCAACUUCGUCAUUCAUUGAAUCGUUAGCUUCUUCAUCAACUUCUAAUAUUUUCUCUAAGACAAUGAUUGAACUUAAUAGAUAGAUGAUUGAUCAGAGACUUUAACUUCUAUUAUAUCUCCCUUGAUAGUUUCUCAGAAAAAGUCAUCACUGACAUAUUGAGUUUCAAACAUUGUUUUCUUAUAAUCUACUUUAAUAUCCUCUGUGUUCAGACUUUUAUAAUCAUUUUUGGGAUCCGCUUCUUUGAUUUCCUUGAUAGUAGCUAUGACGUCACCAGUCUGAAUGUCUUUAGUACCAUCUUGCUUCUUAUCUGUUCCUUCCUGCUCUACAUGAUAGAUUAUAUUAUAUCCGAUCCAAUCUCUUUCCAAAUUAAUAAAAGCCAAAGCAUCUAUUUCUCGACUUUCAGCUGCUAAGUAUCUUCCCCAACCUUCUUCUUCUUCUUCAAAAACUUUUUAAAUUUGAGUCAUGUUGCUCUCCGUGGCUUGACAAUAUCUUUUUAUAUGUCCUUCUUUGCCACACCAAUAACAUCUGAGAGGUUUCUUAGUAUAAUUAUUAAAAGUCUCUUUCUUCUUUCCUGGUGAUCUUGAACCACUUGAGAGUCGAGUGUGAACCAUAUCUCUUACUUUUUCUUUAACGUUUCUCUUGUUAGCUACAAGAAAAUUUCCUUCCUUUUCUUUAACAAAUUCACCAUCCAAUUGUUUGGCUAGUAACUCCUUUGACGACAACAAAUUCUCAAAUUUCUCCAGGAAUGAUUGCUUAGCCCAUCCCUGAAUUGAUGUCACAAAGGGAAUGUAUUCUAUUUUCAAACUAUGAAUGAUAAUUUUUCUCAUUCAUGCUUCAGAGAUAGCCUCGUCUGUAUUCAAUAAAGAAAUUUCAAAACAUAAGUUCUUAAUCUUUAAAAAGUACUCGAUAAUAAAAAGAUUACCUUGAGUGGUGUUCACCAAUUCAUUCUCUAAUCUUUGUAGCCAGGCUUCAUUCAUCUUAUUGAAUAACUGGUCGACGGUCCUCCAAAUUUCAUGAGCUGAUUUACACCUUAUAAUAAGGUGAAAUAAAAUAGGGGAUAUGGAUCUCUUCAGAAUGAACUCUGCCUCCACACAUUAAUCUGCUUCCACUUUUUAUAUGCACUACUAUUCUCAAGUCUGUCAUCUAGAGGACUUGUGUUACUCCCAUUAACAACAUCCUACAAAUCCUCGCCCACAAGGUAUAAUUCCAUACAUGUCUUCUAUACCUUGUAAUUGGACUAAUUCAACAGCUCCAUUCCCAGUCUAUUAAUGCGACAACUUAAAUUUAUUCGAACAAAUGAGUUGAAUCGACCACAAAUCCGAUCUUGAAAUAAACACAAGUCAAUCUAUGACUUUGACUCUGAUACCAUGUAGAGAAUAAAAGAAUAAAGGUGUAAAUAGGGAGAUCUUCUACUAGCCGAAGAUCGUUUAAUUAAGAUCGAAAGAUUCAACUAAGAGGAGGAAGCCAAAAAGAAGAGGCUUCGUUAUGGAAGAAAACUUCUUGAAUUGAAUUGUUUUUAAUUGGUUACAAAUGCUUGAUGUCAUCCCCUAUUUAUACUUGUGUAGGAAUAAUUAUACUUGUGUAGAGAUGAUUCUAGAUACUACAAAUCUAGAGUAUUCUUCCUCUUCCACAAAUAUCUAGCACUCUAGAAUAUCCAGAUCUUUCCUAAAUACAAAUAUCAAAUAGACUACAUUUUCUAGAUUCCUCUAUCUAGAAUUACCUAGAAUAUCUAGAUAUUUCUUCAAUAUGAUUAUCCUACAAAUUAGACAAGAUAUUCUACAAACUUUACUAAAAAAAACAAUGUUAUCUAAAAAAUCAACUUUAAAUAUUCUUCACAUCCGAUUGGCUCAUGAUGUUUAAGCAUGAUAAAUCACUUUGCUUCGAUAUGCUGCAAUGAUAAAAUAUAUGGUUGCAAUUGCCCUAUGUAUAAUGUUGGUGAGUCUAUUCAGAGGCUACAUCGUCUUAAUAGAAUUAUCUUGUUUGAAGAGUUAAGAGACCUUUGUAUUGAGAGACGUUUUUAUUUUUAAAGUGUCCUUUGUGAUCUGGAUAGUUCAGACCUAUUUGAUUUGUGUAAGGUAAUUGGUUGAUAUAUGUGUGAGUGUAUAUGCUUAAUUGUGUUAACGUACAAGUAAAAUAGAGAGAUAAGAGAGUUUCAUAAUAAUGAAAUAAAUGCAAUACAAUCUCAAUCUCUCAUACAACAACAACAACAUACCUAGUGUAUUCAUACAUAAUAGGGUUUAGGGAACGUAAAAUGUAUAUAGUUCAAACCACUAUCUCCGAAGAAGUAUUACCAGAAAUUUGUUGGUCUUUUGUGGACAUUCCAUCCGUCAAAAUUUGGCUCGUGGGUUUCGGGCUUUCGAUGAAAAAAUUAUUGAAACAUUAAUAAAAUAUCAUUUUUUUCAAUAGAUUCCGUCAAUAAUUAGCAAUUUAACGACCCAUAAAAUUUGAAAAGUUCAAAAUUACUUGGACCCAUACACCCUUACCACAACCUUUUUGGGCUCAAGAAAUUUAAUCAAAAUCAAACUAUAUAAACAAGGAUUAUAUUUAGUGUCGUUUUUACUCUAUCAUAGAAGCGAAUGAGAGGAGCUUAGGGUAAGUUUUAAUAAUGAUAACUAAAUUCUCUAAUAAGAAGAUGAUUGAUUCUCAAAAUUCUAUUGAUGCCACAUAAAUUGGGACAACUAUUUGAAAAAUGAUAUAAAAACUACUAUAAAUCAUAUUAAUUAACAACUUAAAAUAUUUUAAAGACAAAAAUGAGAAUGAGAGGAGCUUAGGUCAACUUUUAAAAAUUACAAGUAAGCUCCUCAAAGUCCUAUUAUGACUAUUUGAGGAGCUUAGGCUCAGUUUGCGAAAUGACCAUUUCGCCCUUUUUCUUCUCCAGAAUUACUUAUAUUUAUUUGAAAUUUACGUAAAAAAAAAACUAUGAAUCACAAUAACUAAUUUUAAAAUAUUUAAAAAACAUAAUUAGAAGGGAAUGUUUGAAAAGCUCAGAGUCAAGUUUCCAAAUGACAACUAAGUUCCUCAAAGUCUCAUUUAUUACAAUUUGAGGAGUUUUUAAAAUGACAACUGAGCUCCUCAAAGUCUCACUUAUUACUAUUUGAGGUGUUUCACAAACUACAACUAAGCUCCUCAAAGUCCCACUUAUUACUAUUUGAGGGUUUCAAAAAUAACAACUAAGCUCCUCAAAGUUUCACUUAUUACUAUUUGCGGACUAUUAUAGAAGGGAAUGUUUGAGGAGCUUAGGGUCAAAUUUUCAAAAUGACAACUAAGCUCCUCAAAAGUCUCACUUAUUACUAUUUGAUGAGUUUCCAAAAUGACAACUAAGUGUCCCGACCCGAACCAGGGCUUGGCCGUGGCGGGUAGCUCAAGUCCACUGAGGACCGGAGACCACCCCCUUGCUUAGCCAGACAAAACAUAAUACAGCUAGCAAUAGAUGAAUUCCGAACAUAUAAUAAGAUAGAAUACUGUAAACUCAAAGGAGUCUAAGAAUAUCAACAACAAUACCCAGUCUAUAGUAAUUCACAAAGCCUCUAACAAAACCAAAUCAAUCUAAGUUGGGACAUGCCCUCGAAGAUUGCCAAAAAUAAGUUCAAAGAAAAGUAUAUGAUAAUAGAUAAACCAAAAAGCAACGACCUUCUGGAAGAAGGAGUCCCUCUACUCCAAGCUGAAUGUUGAUAAUUCAAAAGUUGUAUCACUACACAGGAAAAGUAAAAGUGCCUUCGGAUCCUGCAUGACAUGGGGAUACAACAUCUGGAGACAGUUAGUGGUUGAGUGCUAGCAUACAACUCAGGGAUAAGGGGUAAAGCAAUGUCAUGAUCAAAAGUUCAAAAUCAUUCAAAAUAAAUCCAGACAACCAUAUGCAAAUAUAUAUACAUGUGAUAUAUAUAUCACAUGCCGAGGUAGGGAACAAGGCUUAACAUGAACUUUAAAAUCUUAACCUAGAUUGUGUAGCUCAUCCAUCAUAAAAAGGCACCCACGGGCUAUAUGGGUUCAACUGUCCCCUAGCUAAAAGGGCCCAGUGCGUGUAGCCAUAAGAACCAAAGAAUAAUCAUAUGUACAUAUGUAUCAUGGGGGACUGAAACCUCCCAUACAUAUAUCAAGGGUGACUUAAGCACCCAUUCAUUUAACAUGAGGGGCUUGAACCAUCCAAUCAUUUAGUUAGAGGGACUGGAAUCGUCCGAUCAUUUAUACCCCUACGCUGGCAAAUAAGAUUUUCAUUAUUGAUCCCUCGGAACCUACACUUUUACAGCCCAGUAUCACAACGCCCUUUAAUCCAAAUAAAAAUAUUUUUCACACAUUCCCAUUCAUUGAAACAAUUCAUACAUUAAGACAUACCAUUGGUAUCUCAUACCAACUUCAUUUGCAAGCUAAUACGGUCAUGCCAUAUCAAUUAACCAUUAACAUGGGGGAAUUCAUGACCUCUAUAGGUUAAUUACUCAUUCAUAUGUGGAAUCCACAAUCCCUGAGUUUCAAUAAAAAUCAAUUCAUAUUUCAAAAUGCCUUUUUAUGUCAUACAAUGGUUUCAAAGAUAUUUUCAAUGUGCAUGUACUCAUAUUCAAAGACAAAUUCAAAAUAUUAGGUUGAGGUCAUACCAACUCAAUUACCAAAAUUUACAAAAUUGGGAGAAACCAUGUCCCCUUAGUUUAUUCAACAUAUUCAUGCACCCCACAAGUUCAAAACCAUAAAUAAAGUAUGAACAAUGCAUAUUUAAAUCAUAGGAAUCUAAUUUAAGAAAUAUUCAUUCAAAAAUCCUCAACCCAUAUGAAAACUCAUGUUCAAAUCCACAUAAACAAUCAUAUAAUUUUAUGCUUUAUGUAAAACAAGUUUAAUGGUAGAGUCACAUGCCUGAAUAUCAAGAGUUAUGGAGAAGAAAUGAUGAAUUGAGCCCCUAGAUUUUCAACCUUGAGAAAACCUAACUUGCUCUUGCUUGAGGAUUUGAGAGAAGAGAUAAUGUGUUUUUGAUGUUUUAUGGAUGAAAAUGGGGGGAAAAUAGUGAGAAAAAUGUCCAAAAUGCCCCUUAAUAAAAGACUAAAAAACGGUCGCCUAGUCAUUAUGGGUGACCUUAUGACUCUUCUACACACUCGUAGUCUGGACUGUACCCAUGGGCACCCACACUAGUAUGACUACAAGUCGUACCAUAUGACUCAUACUCAGACAUUACUACUCGUAGGGUCCAAGUCGUACUCAGGACAUGGUCUUCGGCACUCAUACUGAUGAGACUACGAUUUACACUGUAUGACUCGUAUGAGUCUUAAUGACUCGUUGGGUACAAACAAUGAUCAACAUAGAAACACAUUGGUGCGACUACAAUUUGGGUCCUACUAUCCGUAAUGACACCCUACGACUCAUAAGGAGAGUCGUAGUCUGGUGAGCUCAAAUGUCUAGAAGUUUUCAAGGACCAAAAUUUGGGGUGUUACACUUAGCUUCUCAAAGUCUCACUUAUUACUACUUGAGGAGUUUCUAAAAUGAUAACUAAGCUCCAAAAAGUUCCACUUAUUACUGUUUGGGGAGUUUAAAAAAUGACAACUUAGCUCCUCAAAGUCCCACUUAUUACUAUUUGAGGACUUCUCUAGAAUUACUUAUAUUUAUUUAAAAUUUACGUUAAAAAUGCUAUAAAUUACAUUAAUUAAUUUUAAAAUAUUUAGAAGUGUAUAGUAAAAGAAAGAUUGAUUCUCAAAAUUCUAUCGAUGUUGCAUAAAUUGGGAUAAUUAUUUGAAAUAAUAAAUAAAGUACUGUAAAUCAUAAUAAUUAGCAACUUAAAAUAUUUAGAAGACAUAUAAAAAUAGAAUGAGAGGAGCUUAGAGUCAAAUUACAAAUAAGUUCCUUAAAGUCCCACUUAUUACUAUUUGAGGAACUUAGAGUCAGUCUAUGAAACGAUCAUUUUUCCUUUCUACUUCUCCAGAAUUACUUAUAUUUAUAUGAAAUUUAUGUUAAAACCCUAUGAAUCACAAUAUUAAUUUUAAAAUAUUUAAAAUACAUAAUAAAAAAAAUGAGUGAUUCCCAAAAUUCUAUUGGUGCCUCAUAAAUUGGAACAAUUAUUUUAAAGUGCUAUAAAUUAUAAUAAUUAAUAAUUUAAGAUAUUUAAAAUACAUCAAAUGUUCGGUUGACUCUCAAAAUAAUAUCAUAGUUAGAAAUACAAUAAAUCAUAAUACUAAUUAACAACUUAAAAUAUUUAAAAUCAUACAAAAAAUUGAUUGACCGUCUAAAUUUCAUCUGUGUUACAUAAAUUGAACACAUAAAUUGGGACAGAUAGAAUAUCAUAUAUUAUUUGAAAAUAAUGUUAAAUUUUUUAAAAUAAUUAACAACUUAAAAUACCUUAAAAUGAUACAAAAACUUUGAUCAACUUAAAUUUUCAUCUAUAUAACAAAAUUUGAGACAAAACAGAAAUUAUGUAGAAAAUACAAUAAAUCAUAAUACUAAUUAUCAACUUCAACUAUUUAAAAUCAUAUGAAAAAAAUUGAUUGAUUGUCUAACUUUCAUUGUGUUUGCAUAAAUUGUGAUAAAAAAGUAACAUAUAUUUGGGAAUGAGCUCUCCGGAUCUAGUAUAUAUAAGAGAAAUGUAUAUAAGAAGUUUAUGUCAUCGAAAAAAACAUAUAAGAAAUUCGUCUCUGAUUUCUCAUUACAAUCUCAAUUAUGAUUCACUUUUACCUCCAAAAGGUGGAGAUAAGAUAUGGCGCAUAUACUUUAUUCUUAUCAGACCUCACUUGUGGAAUUUCACUUAAAUGUUGUUAUAAUAUCAAUUAUGAUUCAUGAAACAAUUAAACAAGAUGAUACUUACGAGUCAUUAUGCACACCCAUAGUCUGGACAGUACCCAUGGGCACCCACACUGAUCUAACUAUGAUUCGUACCAUAUGACUCGUACUUAAACAUUACUACUCGUAAGGUCCAAGUCGUACUCAGGACAUGAUCUUUGGCAUCACACUGAUGAGGCUACGAUUUACACUGGACGACUUGUAUAAGUCUUAACGACUAAUUGGGUACCAAUUGUAAUCAACAUAAAAAACACACUGGUCUGACUACGAUUUGGAUCCUACGAUCCGUAAUGACACCUUAAGACUCGUAGGGAGAGUCGUAGUCUGGGCAGUGAGCUCAAAGGUCUAGAAGGUUUUAAGGACCAAAAUUCAGGGUGUUACACUAAGCUUCUCAAAGUCUCACUUAUUACUACUUGAGGAGCUUCAAAAAUGACAACUAAGCUCUAAAAAGUUUCACUUAUUACUGUUUGGGGAGUUUCAAAAAAUGACAACUUAGCUCCUCAAAGUCCCACUUAUUACUAUUUGAGGACUUCUCUAAAAUUACUUAAAUUUAUUUAAAAUUUACGUUAAAAAUGCUAUAAAUUACAAUAAUUAAUUUUAAAAUAUUUAAAAGUGUAUAAUAAAAGAAAGAUUGAUUCACAAAAUUCUAGCGGUGCUGCAUAAAUUGGGAUAAUUAUUUAAAAUAAUAAUAAAAAAUACUGUAAAUCAUAUAUUUAGCAACUUAAAUUUUAGAAGACAUAUAAAAAUAGAAUGACAGGAGCUUAGGGUCAACUUUCAAAAAUUACAAAUAAGUUCCUCAAGGUCCCACUUAAAACUAUUUGAGGAACUUAGAGUUAGUCUGUGAAAAGAUCAUUUCGCCCUUCUACUUCUCCAGAUUACUUAUAUUUAUAUGAAAUUUAUGUUAAAAACCUAUGAAUCACAAUAUUAAUUUUAACAUAUUUAAAAGACAUAAUAGAAAAGUAUGACUAAUUCCCAAAAUUCUAUCGGUGCAUCAUAAAUUGGAACAAUUAUUUUAAAGUGCUAUAAAUUAUAAUAAUUAAUAUUUUAAGAUAUUUAAAAUACGUCAAAUGUUUGAUUGACUCUCAUAGAAUAUCAUAUAUUAUUUGAAAAUUAUGUUAAAUUUUUUUAAAUAAUUAACAACUUAAAAUACCUUAAAAUGAUACAAAAAUUUUGAUCGACUCUUAAAUUUUCAUCUAUAUAAUAAAAUUUGGGACAUAACAGAACUUAUGUAGAAAAUACAAUAAAUCAUAAUACUAAUUAACAACUUCAACUAUUUAAAUCAUACGAAAAAAUUAAUUGACUGUUUAACUUUCAUUGUGUUUGCAUAAAUUGUGACCAAAAAAGUAACAUAUCUUGGGCAUAAGCUCUCCGGAUCUAGUAUAUAUAAGGAAGAGGUAUGUAAGAAGUUUAUGUCGUCGUCAAGAAUAUAUAAGAAAUUCGUCUUUGAAUUCUCAUUACAGUCUCAAUUAUGAUUCACUUUCACCUCCAUAAGGUGGAGAUAAGAUAUAGAUGCAUAUACUUUAUUCUUAUGAGAUCUCACUUGUGGAAUUUCACUUAAACAUUGUAAUAAUCUCAAUUAUGAUUCAAGAAACAAUUAAACAAGAUGAUACUAUAAGAUAUACUCCCUCCAUUUCGUUUUAGUUGUCCCUUGUUGACUCGACACUUUUAUUGAAAAAAUAUUUGUUAGGAGUGUAUUUAAUUAAAAUAGUCUUAUAAACUAUAUUUUGAAAAUAUAAAUUUGAUUAUAUACACUUUACAUAGUCAUUUAAUGAUAGGUGUAGUAUUUGAAGAAGAUAAUAAACUUCUCUUGAUUUUAUAAAUUAAACAACUAAAUUGAAACAAAAUUUUUAGUAAGAGGUCAACUAAAAUGAAACGGAGGAAAUUGUAUAAUGAUAGGGUAAUAAUAGAAGAACAUAAUAAACUUUUCUUGAUUUUAUAAAUUGAAGUAUUGAAAAACUACUUUUAGUUAGAGGGUCAACUAAAAUAAAAUAGGAGUUGUGUAUAGUAAAUUUAUAAAAAGCUAAAUGAGAUAAAAAUGGAAGAAAAAAAAAAUCUUAGAAAAAUGAAUAACAUUUUUAUUGAUGACUCAUUUCAUAAAUAGACCAAAGUCCAUGCUUCAUUAUAGGUACAUCAUUAAUAGGGAGAGUUGAAAUAUUCGACCUAACAAUGGUAAGUACUAACACAACUCAAUGGGCCUUUAUCACCAGCACCACUACAAACUUCAUUUCCUUUAUAAAGCUUCAUACAAUAAACAAAACACAUAUUGCAAUCGUCUGGCUCAGUUAAAGUCUCAACACAUUCUUUUGGUGGAGUUGAGAUGGUUGAGCUUUCACUCGAGUAUUUGUCAUUCCAACUACAUCCAAAAAUUGAACAACAAAACAUUAGUAGUAUAUCAAGUGAAUAAAUCUUUUUGUGAAAAUUGUAAGAGUUAGUUGAGAUAUCACUUUCGAUGCAGAAACAUCAACAAGAGUGUCAUGAAUUUUGACUUUACAAGUGAAAAAUCUAAGAUACGUAUGGUCAUAGCUUUUGAAAUUCGUAAUAGUAGAGAGGAAAAUAUCACUACCAAUUCUAGAAUUUCAUCCAAAAAUACUGUGAUGGAAUUUAACAUUUUUAAACUCGAAAUUUCUAAUAGUCACGACUUCAAAAGAUCGGAUCUUUUUUUAAUGAUUUUUAAAUCAACGACCGUCAUACCUGAUUUUUACCUAAGGUCAAAACGAGCACAACAUUAUGGACUCAAAAGAAUUAAUUUUUAUACAGAGUCGCCACCUAAUUUUUAAGGAAAAUAAGAAAACCUAUUUAUUUAUUAACAAGUAUGACUUGUAUUUUAAUUUACGAAUCAAUUUAAAUUCUAGGUAAGGGUUCAAAUUAUUUCAUUUAUUUAUUAGCAAGUAUGACUUGUAUUUUAAUUUAUGAACCAAUUUAAAUUUUAGGUAAGAAUUCAAAUUAUUUCGAAGGAAAAGAGUUAGACACCCUUCAGAAUCCACAAAUGUGGUUCUUGACCAGACUUAGGUUAUUAUUAAAAAAGCAAAAGAAAAAUCAAUGUUUCUAAAUGCAACUAUAAAAUAUGUAUUAAAAUAAUACAAACAAUCUAUAUAUAAAGAAUGUGUAAAUUACAUAUGUUAUCGUAAAAAGUAUGUGUAUAAGAAGCCUAUAAAGAUAAACAAAAAUACAUGAAAAUUUGUAUGAAAAAAUGAAAAGAUUGAAUGAAGAAAAAUUUGUUUUAAAGAAAAGAUUGCAUAAUAUAUUUUAGUGUAACAGAGUGUGAAUUAUUUGAUUAAAUUAUCUAAAAAUAUUUAAUAUAAAUAUUUACGAUCUAAAAUUGCCUAAAUGCGUGACGUAGAUUGCAUAAAUAAAGACUAACCCGCCCAACACCCCAAAAAUAAAGAUUUCACUAUGAUUAAUAUUUUUGUACAAUUACAAAAUAAAAAAAAUACAAAUAUAAAUGUACUCUUUUCUUGAAUAUCGUUUCCGAUAUGUAUUCCCGAGAACCUGUAUAAACACUUAUAAUAAAAAUGUUAGUAACAAAUAAAUAAUUAAUAAAUUGAGAAAGUAGAUAUGCAUAUUUGUAUAAAAAAAAAUUUCGUUAAAAAGUAUGGGCUCGGAUCAGAUUUUAAGUACACCAUGACUACGAAGUGCUUGCUCAAUUUAUUGACCGUCCUAAAUCGCCUUGCCAAGAUACGAAUCAUAAAAUCUUUUCGUUGUUAUAAAAAUUUCAUCAUUGUCCGAAAUAUUUAUUUUAUUACGUAUUUAUAUAUGUAAUAUUCGUCUUUUUAUUUGUGAAGGCCUAAAAAAUCGAUGAAAAUUUUUUUCAUUAGCUAAGUGUCGGCCCUUAAUAUAAAAUAAUAACUUUGAUAAAAUAAAAUCUGUCUAUUGUAAUGGGUGGCCUCAAAUAUUCAUUGACCAAAUUCUAAGCUCAUGAUCCAUGCUCAACAAAUAGAAAAGGUUAGUAAUAAGGAGAGAGAACAAGAGAGCUAGGGUAGGUAGCUUCAAUUUCACUCGGCCUAAGUCAGAGGAUGGUAACCGUUAAUUAACACUAAUUAUUAAAGCGGGAUUAGGAGCAGUAAGAAAAAAGGCAGCAACCCAAAUAUUUAAAAAUAACAAAUAAAUCAGUAGCAAACCAAAAACAUAUACAACAGGAACCUAAAACAAACAUUUGAGAAAAUAUUACUUGCUCCAUUUCAAAAAGAAUGACUUACUUUUCUUUUUAGUAAGUUUCAAAAAGAAUGACUCCUUUUUUUUUUAUAAUAUUUUAAUUUUAACUUUUCACGUGGCAUGUUUAAAACCAUAAAAUUAAAGAAUAUUUUAAUAUAUUUGACACAACUUUAAUUUAACACCAUAAGAUUCAAAAGUAUUUAUUUUUUUAAAACUUUAUAUCAAAUUAAAAUAAAUUAUUCCUUUUUAAACGAAGAGAGUACUAUUUUAUCACAUUAAAUACAAACAAAAGACUAAAGCAUCGUGAACAUUGAAUCAAAAUCCAAAAGAAGGCCCAAAACGUGAAUUAGUUAUCGGUUCAAUUAAUAUUAACAAUGAAGAAAAUCAGAAAAGGAUACAAAUCAGUAAAGUAAACAAAAAUAUCAUAAAUCAGUAAAGUAAACAAAAUAUAAUAUAUCAGUAAAGAUUAAUAUAUAUUUUUAUAAAACUUGGUUCAUAGUAGAGAAAACUAAUCAAGUUAGUUCAAAAAAAUAAAAUAAUAAUACAAAAUCAACAACCAAUGCUAAAACAAUAACAUAAUUAUUAAUUAUCAUCCAUGUAUGUGCAAAAAUAUGAACACAAGUGUUAAAGCCAAACAGUAAAAAAGCAAAGAUCAAUCAUAAAUACCAAAAAAAAAAAAAAAAAAAGAGGAAGAAAGGCCACCACAACCAGCCAGAUCUGGUGUUUUUAUUUGGUGGACAGUGACGAAAGGGAGGAGGGACGAGCAGUGGUGGUGGUGUUUGCCUGGAGGAGCUUUCACUGGUGGGGAACGGAGGGAGGGGCAGUGCGUGGUGUUUUGCUAGAGGUGGGUGGUCGGCGAUGGAGGUCAGCGGCGGACCCAGGAAUUCAAUCUGUGUUCAAAAAAAAAAAUUUAUAAAAAAUAGUACGCAACUGUAGUGAUUCGAAUAUGAAAAACUGGACAUGGGAGUCACAUCCUCAAGCCACUGCACCCAAUCAUAUAUUUGUUCUCUGGGUACUUUUUAAUAAAUUAUACUAUUUAUUUUAUAUUUUUAUAUAAUUAUACCUAAUCUUCAUCGAGUUUAGUGAAUGUCGAAACACCUCAAAAUUACACAUGAAUCCGCCCCUGAUGAAGGUGAUAUUUUAGGUGAGGGUGGGGCGGCUGGAGAGAGUGGUGGUGCGCGCCGGUCAUCACCUGCGAGGCAACAUGUAUUAGCGGAGAUGAAAGGGAGAGAGAGAUCUGUGUUGGUGUGUGUAUGUGUGUUGGAUUUCUUAAAAAGAAAAAAAAAAUUCAAUCAAAUCUACCUUCUUUAAGAAAUUCCUUAAAUUAGGGGUAGUAGUUCAAAUAAAAUUAAAAAAAAAAAUGAGGAGACUUUGAUUUGAUUAAUUUAUUAUUUUAUGUAUUAAAAUAAUUAAAUUGACUCAUUUUUAUAUGCCGUAUUAAAUAACGUAUAAAAUAAUGAAUGCUGAUGUAUAAAUAUAGAAAAAUAUAAAUAAAAAUAAAAAAAUAUAAUUAUCUUAAAAAAAUAUAUUAUGCUAUAAGUAAUUAAAAUUAUAUUGUGUAGUAAAAAAUUAUAAUGUUUUGCUGUGUAAGUAUUCAAAUGAUUGUACAAAAAUAUUAAAAUAAUAAUAAACUUAAAGAUAAUUGUCAAUAAAUUAUGUAAAAUUAAAAUAUGACAAUAAAUGAGUAAAAAAUUCUAAAAUAAUGAUAAUUAUCAAUAAUUUAUUAACAAUUGCAAAAAAUAUGUAAAAAAUUGCAUAUUGUGUCAUUUCACGAUUAGGGAGCCUAAAUGCAUUAAUUUUAAGUUUGGAGAGCCAAAAUUUGGUGUCAACAGUUUUCCCCUUUUCGUUUGAAGAUUUCUAUAUCGUUUUCAAAAAAAUGAGCGAACUCCAAUUUAGAGUCGUCUACAUGCUUCAAGUUGCAUGGGGAGCAGGUAGAGUAUAGUUCAAAAGCUAUCCUGACAUAUCCUAUUUUGGAUUGGAUAAACCCAAUGCAUUCUUGAAUUCUAUGCUUGCAAAAUUUAUAAAAUUGAAAAACAGUAGACAAACAAGUAACUAAGUUUGAUUCUUUUUUUUCAAGAGAUUCCAAAAAAGACAUGUAAUGUUUUAACUAAUGUAAAGAUAAAUAAAUAAAUUUAUUGCACAAUUAAAUUCGAAGACAAGCAAAAUAUUCAACUGAAGGUAAACUCGCAUAAAGAUCUUAUUAGAGGGCAGAUUAAUCCAAAAUGUUCUAUUUUAGGGUGGACAAAUCCAAACCCAAUUCAUGCUUGUAAAAAUUUUAGAAAAAAUUAAGGUGAAUUUUUUUUAUUUUUUUAUUUUUAUUUUUUUUUGAGAAAUUAAAGAUAAUAUGUAGUGCUCAACUAAAUAAGAGAAAAAAAUGGUACAGGCAAAGAUAAGAUCCAGUGAUUAAAUGGUAAAAUACGUGCAUUGCGAUAUGUGUAGGUAAAGACAAAGUAUGCAGUACUUAAAUAACAAAAUAAACACAUUGCGAUGUGAAAGUAAAGACAAAAAUGACAUGCAAUGAUUAAAUGAUAAGAAGAAUGCAUUGCAAUAUAUGCUGGUAAAGGUCAAGAUGACAUACAGUGCUUAAAUGAUGAAAUAAAUGUAUUGUGAUAUUUACAAGGUAUACAGUGCUCAAAUAAAACAAUGUGUUGCGAUAUAUGUGUGUAGUGCUUAAAUGACAAAACAAAUGCAUUGUGAUAUUUUCAAUGUGUGUAGUGCUUAAAUUUAUAACAAUAUACGCCGAUAAAGGCAAAGAUGACAUGUGAUGCUUAAAUAAUAAAAUAAAUGCAUUGCGAUGCGUGUAGAUAAAGACAAAGAUAAUAUGUGGUGCUUAAAUGAUAAAAUAAAUACAUUACGGUGCGUGCAAGUAAAAACAAGAAUAAAAUGCAGUGCUUAAAUGAUAAAAUAAAUGCACUGCAAUGCGUGCAAGAAAAGACAAAAAUAAAAUGCGGUGCUUAGACGAUAAAAUAAAUGCAUUGCGAUGCAUGCAAAUAAAGAAAAAAAUCAAAUACAGUGCUUAAAUGAUAAAAUAAAUACAUUGCGAUAUGUGUCAGCAAAAACAAAAAUAACAUGCAAUGUUUAAAUAAUAAAUAAAUACAUUGCGAGAUAUGCAAAUAAGGACAAACAAAACAUACAGUGCUUAAAUAACAAAUAAUAAAAUAAAUAAAUUGCGAUGCGUGCAAGUAAAGACAAAAAUAGCAUACAGUGCAAAAAGAAAAAAAUGAAGUGCAAUAUGUGCAAGUAAAGACAAGCAAGUAUAAAUAUUUAAUUGAAAAAAAAAACAUGCAUUGGAGGACAGAAUGACCCAGUUGUCCUAUUUUAGGGUGGACAAACUCAUGUAAAAAUGAUUAUUGAGCAAAGAAUUAUUUGCAAAUGAAAGUGUUUAUAUAAUUCUGAUGCUGCUUUCAAAAAUUAUCCCAGUAUCGAGUUAUAAGAUGCUGGAAAAUGCAAGAUUGUAUACUUGCUGGGGAGAAAGAAUGAUUAUAGGAUUGCAAUGAUCGAACUCUACAUAGAGCUUCCUACAUAUCCCGUAUGUCAUGAGAAUCAGGCCAAUAUAGUUUGAAAUAAAGAAACAGAGUAAAUUUUGAGACGGCUUUCAAAAUUUGCCCCAAUAUAUUAUUUAUGUUGAUAUUAUGUUGUACUAAGGAAACUAAAAAAAAUAAUUUUGCUAUUGCGGAUUGAAAAGAUGCAUGACGUCUCUGAUUGCUUACAGAGACAGAUGCUGAUUGUUGUUUUUGAUUGCCUACGAAUACUAAUGCCCUCAACUAGUAAAGUGACUGAAAUCUAAUAACCUCUCAAAAUGUAAAAGGUACAAAAAAUGGGUGCUUAACUGAAAAAUAAAAUGCUGCAAUUUAAAGGUAUGUGCUUGAAAGAAAAAGUCAAAUGCCUGUAUUUCAAAAUUGGACGCCUUGAAUGAAAAGUAAAAAGUGCAUGUAUGUAAAGUGAGCACCUUGAAUGAAAGGUAAGGAAAUGCUUGUAUGUGAAAGUGACCUCUUAAAAAAAGAAGAAAAAUGUUGUAUUUUUUGGUUAAAAAUGCUGAAAGAUGAAGAAGACAUAAUCUUGUCUUGACUUCAGUUGGUGCCAAUAAUUAGUAGUGUGCAUAAGAAUUCCUCCAUCUACUUCUCAGCUAACCGAGAUCGACUUCAAGAUAACUACUGUAGUUUCAAAUGGUACCUCAGACAUGCCUAAGUAUCAACAAAAUUUUUUGUCUUGCUUCAAAAAAAUAUUUUGAGCUAUGUCUAUCCUCAUGCUUCAAGUGCUCUCUCCUGAAAGAAAGUCUCAUUUCACACAUAUUUAAGUAAUAAUUUUUUAAAAAAAUUUGGAGACAUUUAAAGAAAUACACUCACACUCAGAAAGAAAUUCAAUGCAUGUAAUUGUGAUACAAUAGGUUUGAUCUUUAUGUAAGUAUCCACUAAUGUGAGAACACUUAGAAUAGGAUCUCAUAGGAAUUGCUAUUGGCUUAUAAUGUAGGUUUGGGGAUGGGUAGGAUGAUAUUUGAGAUAAAAUUGACUAAUCCCUCAAUGAGUAUUACAUUGUAUUUGUGCUUUCGGCAUUUGUUGCGCUUUGACGCGUGAUCUUCUUAAUUGCAUUUUGUUGUCCCUCAAUUUGCAUUUGCUUCGACUUCUUUUGAAUUUUGUGCUGGAGUUUUUCCCCUUUUCUUUUCAAGAAACUAUAUAUAUUUUAUGUUAUUUUUUUUCUUUGCUUAUUUUUGAAGUCGUUUUUCAUUUUUUUUUCAUUUGGGAUAAUAUAUUUUUUUGCAUUUUGCAUUUUUAUUUUGAAUCUUCGUCUAUAAUUUGCACGCAUUUAGUGUGCUCAAGGAGGUAGGGCCAAGAGAGUACACGUAAGCACUCAAAAAGGUAUAGGCUCAAAUGCGAUUGUCCAAAGAAAAGGUUUUAGGCUUAAAAGAGAAAAUGCUGUGGAUUAAUGUUAUUUGGUGGGUUGUGAAAGGCACAAUCGAAUCAAAGAAGGCCUACGAUCCUUUCCUAAAUCAAGUGCAACUCAAAAUUUCGCCUCAACAAUACAAUGCAAUGAAUUAAAAUAAAGCUCACCACGCAUGCACAUGAAACUAUAAGGUUGACUUUGUUUUUGUCUUAGAUGUAUGCAAGAGAAUUUUUUCAAGCGUUACACAAGUGUGAUAAAAGGUACCAAAAAAAUCUAUAGUUUACUAUAAAGUCAGUUCUUUUCAUCACAUCAAAUUGUUCUUUCUCAUGCACACUCCUAACUGUAUUAGUAUCAACCAAGUUAAAAUUAUUCUUUAUUUAAAAACAUGGGAUCGAACCCAAAAUAAGGAUUACCUAUGUAUCUUGUGAAAAUAAGAAUCAAGUUUGCGUAGUUCAGAUAAAUUUGUAAUUUUGUAUGUGCAAUGUAUGAUUGUAAAAAAAAUGAUAGUCAUCCUUGAAAAUAAUACGAAAGAAAAUUACAAAGGAACUGCUUUUAACAUCAAAAUUAUUCUAAUCACAUGAUCAAAAGAAUGAACGUCAAGUAUGGGAAAAGCUUCGACACAACUUCAAUACGCUGACAAAAUUAAAAAGGUCAGGCAUUGAAGAAUUAAAAAGGUCAGACGUUCUAAUCACAUUUGGAAGGGUUGUUAUGAUUGAAAAAAAUAUUAAACCCUUCUUGUUGAAAGCGAGGAUUAACACACCAUAAAAUUUAAUGAUUUACGACGUUCGAAAGAAGAAGCCAGGUAUUCUUUAAUCAAAAUUGGGUGAAAGUCUGGAGAUAGGCUGGCUAUGCGCUAAUGUUAAUGAGAUUUGGAUUUAAGGAGCUAUUAAAUUGUGCUCUUGAAGGCUUUUGGAGAGCAUUUUUGAACUGUUCCAGAAAAUUUUCCUAGUUUGAAUACCAGAGAAAUUAUUCUGAAACAGUAAAGAGACAGAACCCAAAUGAGGGUUUCCUACAUAUCUUGUUAGGACAAGAAUCAGGUCAAAACGUAGUUCAAACCUAUACGCAACUAAUGACGAUGUUGGUAAGAUGUAUCUUUUAAUUGAUCAACCAUACAAAAUAAAGAUUAGAUUACACCUUCCCACUAAAGAAUAGAUAAUUUAGAACAAAUAAAUAUGUACAGACACAAUAAUUCUUUAAAUAUGUACAAAAAUUAUAAUAAUGUGUCACUUGAGUCUGGAACCCUUUGGACAUAGAGUUGUCUAAUGAUGCAUGCACCUAAAAGGUGUUAUUUUAGCUAUAACCUACAUUGACUAAGAGUGGGUAAACGCGGACUUGAAUUUCUUAUAUGAGAAGGAACAUAGUUCCAUGGGAGUAAAACCUCCGCUCGCCCCAAGCAUGCGCCAACUCUAUAAAGUAAGGUAAUUUGAAAGAAUUUUGAAAAAAUACAAUAUACAAUCCGCAAGUACAAUAUGUGUGAGUGUCAAUUUUUCAAAAUGGAGGAAAUAUAAAUGAAAUGUCAAUUUAUAUAAAGCGAUACAUAAAUAAAUAGUUUAUACAAAAUAAUAACAAAUAAAUAAUUUAUGCCAUAUAAACAAGAUAAAUCAAGACAAUUAAUAUGAAAUAAAUAACAAUGUAUAAAAACGUAAAUAUUUACCUAAAUCUGUAAGGGCUAAAACCUUGUAUUCCCCAGCAGCGUCGCCAAACUGUAAUACCCAAUUUUUACCUAAGAUCAAAACGAGUACGCCAUUAUGGACUCAAAAAAAUUAAUUUUUAUACAGAGUCACCACCUAAUUUUUAAAAAAAAUAAAGAAACCUAUUUACUUAUUAAGAAGUAUGACUUGUAUUUUAAUCUACGAACCAAUUUAAAUUCUAAAUAAGGAUUCAAAUUAUUCCGAAGAAAAUAUGUUAGGCACUCAUCAUAAUCCACAAAUGUGGUUUCUAGCAAAACUUAGGUUAUUAUUAAAAGAACAAAAAAAAAAUUAAUGUUUCUAAAUGCAACUAUAAAAUAUGUAUUAAAAUAAUAUAAACAAUCUAUAUAUAAAGAAUGUAUAAAUUACAUAUGUUGUCAUAAAAAAUUUGUGUACAAGAAGCCUAUGAAGAUAAACGAAAAUUUAUGAAAAUUGUAUGAAAAAAAUGAAAAGAAUGAAUAAAGAAAAAUUUAUUUUAAAGAAAAGAUUGCGUAGUAUAUUUCAGUGUAACAAAGUGUGAAUUAUUUGAUUAAAUAAUCUAAACAUAUUUAAUAUCAAUAUUUACGACCUAAAUUUGCCUAAAUGCGUGACGUAGAUUGCACAAAUAAAGACUAACCCGCCCAAUGCCCCAAAAAUAAAGAUUUCACUAUGAUUAAUAUUUUUGUACAAUUACAAGAAUAUAAAAAAUACAAAUAUAAAUUUACUCUUUUCUUGAAUGUCGUUUCCAAUAUGUAUUCCUGAGAACCUGUAUAAACACUUAUAAUAAAAAUGUUAGUAACAAAUAAAUAAUUAAUAAAUUGAGAAAGUGUAUAUGCAUAUUUGUAUAAAAAAGAUAUAAUUUUCGUUAAAAAUAUGUGCUCGAAUCGGAUUUUAGGUAUACCAUGACUACAAAGUGGUUGCUCAAUUUAUUGACCAUCCUAAAUCGCAUUACCAAAAUAUGAAUCAUAAAAUCACUUUUGUUGUUAUAAAAAUUUCGUCAUUGUCCAAAAUAUUUAUUUCAUUACAUAUUUAUAUACGUAAUAUACAUUUUUUUAUUUGUGAAGGCCUCAAAAAUCGAUGAAAAAUUUUAUUCAUCAACCAAGUGUCGGCCUUUAAUAUAAAAUAAUAACUUUGAUAAAAUAAAAUUCAUCUUUUGUAAUGAGAUGACCUCAAAUAUCCAGACGAAGAGAUAAUUUUACUGGUCAAACAUUAAUUAAGGAAGCCACCCAAAUAUUUAAAAAUAACAAAUACUCCCUUCGUUUAAAAAAAAGAUCUAUUUUUUUUGUCCGUUUAAAAAAGAAUGAUUACUUUCCUUUUUUUGCAAUAUUUUAAUUUAAACUUUUCAUGUAACAUGUUUAGCAUAAGAAGAUUAAAGAAUAUUUUGAUACAUUUGACACAACUUUAAUUUAAGAUCAUAAAAUACAAAAAUCUUCUUUAUUUUCUUAAACUUUAUGCAAAAUUAAAAUAGAUAUUUUUUCAGGAGUAAAUCAGUAGCAAACCAAAAAACAUUUAAGAGAAAAUAUUACUAUUUUAUCACAUUAAAUACAAAAGACUAAGGCAUCGUGAACAUUGAAUCAAAAUCCAAAAGAAGGCCCAAAACGUUAAUUAGUUAUCGGUUCAAUUAAUAUUAACAAUGAAGAUAAUCAGAAAAGGAUGACAAAUCAGUAAAGUAAACAAAAUAUAAUAAAUCAGUAAAGAUUUAUAUAUAUUUUUAUAAAACGUGGUUCAUAGUAGAGAAAACUAAUCAAGUCAGUUCCAAAAAACUAAAAUAAUAAGAGCAAAAUCAACAACCAAUGCUAAAACAAUAACAUAAUUAUUAAUUAUCAUCCACGUAUGUGCAAAAAUAUGAACACAAGUGUUAAAGCCAAACAGUAAAAAGCAAAGAUCAAUCAUAAAUACCAAAAAAAAAAAAAAGAAAAGAGGAAGAAAGGCCACCACAACCAGCCAAAUCUGGUGUUUUUUCUGGUGGACAGUGAAGAAAGGGAGGAGGGACGAGCAGUGAUGGUGGUGUUUGGCUGGAGGAGCUUUUACUGGUGGUUAAUGGAGGGAGGGGCGGCGCGUGGUGUUUUGCUGGAGGUGGGUGGUCGGCGAUGAAGGUGAUAUUUUGGUGAGGGUGGCGUGGCUAGAGAGGGUGGCGGUGCGGCUGGUGAGGUGGUUCUCGCCGGUCAUCACUUUCGGCGAGGCAACGUGUAUUAGCGGAGAUGAAAGGGAGAGAAAGGAGUGUUUGGGUAGUGGUGCUUGUUGGGGAGACGGUGGUUAGCCGGCAAAAAAUUCGCCGGAAUCCGAUGGUUGCUAGCGGUAGUGAGAGGGAGAAAUAGGAGAAAGAGAGAGAUGAGAAAGAGAGAGAGAAAUGAGAGAGGAGAAAGAGAGAGAUCCGUGUUGGUGUGCAUGUGUGUUGGAUUUCUUAAAAAGGAAAAACAAAUUCAAUCAAAUCUACCUUUUUUAAGAAAUCCCUUAAAUUAGGGGUAGUAGCUCAAAUAAAAUAAAAAAAAUAAAAAAAUAAGGAGACUUUAAUUUGAUUAAUUUAUUAUUUUAUAUAUUAAAAUAAAUAAGUUGAUUCAGUUUUGCAGAUCAUAUUAAAUAAGUAUAAAAUAAUAAAUAUUGAUGUAUAAAUAUAAUAAAAUAUAAAUAAUAAAUAAAAAUAUAAUUAUCUUAAAAAAAUAUAUCAUGAUAUAAAUAAUUAAAAUUAUAUCGUGCAGUAAAAAAUUACUAUGUUAUGUUGUGUAUGUAUACAAAUGAUUGUGCAAAAAUAUUAAAAUAAUAAUAAACUGAUAAAAAUUUUAAAAUUUACGAAAUUAAAGAUAAUUAUCAAUAAGUUAUAUAAAACUAAAAUAUGAAAAUAAAUGAGUAGAAAAUCCUAAAAUAAUGAUGAUUAUCAAUAAUUUAUUAAUAAUUGUAAAAAGUAUGUGAAAAAUUACAUAUUAUGCCAUUUCACGAUUAGGAAACUUAAAUGCAUUAAUUUUAAGUUUGGAGAAUCAAAAUUGAGUCAACAAUGACUAUUUUGCGAAUAUAGAAAAAUAAUUUAAAAAAUAAAAAAGAAGUAGAAGGUCAAACCUGAAAGAACGACAAAGAAACAAAUGAUAGAGUUCAACAGCUUAGCCAUAUUGCUUAUUGAAGUUUGAUGAGCUCAAUUAUAAAAGGAAUAUUCAAGAUUUGUAUGUUUGGUAUAGCAAGGUGAAAGGGGCCUUUAUAGUGUGAAUUUUAAAGAUUCUUGUAGAUUUACUUUGGUAAGUAAAACUUUUAGAUGUGUUUUUUUGGUAAUAGUAUAAUUUACUUUUCAUUCAGAACGUAAAUGGCUAGUCUCCAAAUCUUGAUUGACUUUGGAAAGUAGUUAUUCCCUUCCUCUAUCUUAACCCGUCCACUAUUGAUUGACAAAUAUCUUAUGAAACAAUAAUAAUAAUAGUAAUUUUACUAUAUCACCCGUUCAAUAUAGUAAAUUUAAUAAUUUAUAUGAAACAAUAAUAAUAAGAGUAAUUUUACUAUAUCACCCGUUCAAUAUAGUAAAUUUAAUAUUUUAAAAUAUAAAUUGAAUAUUAAAUAAUAUUUAAUAGUAAGAUUACAAAGAACACAAUAUCAUUAGCAAGAGCCUCUCAUUAUGGGAAACACAUAUCACCUCAACUUUAUAUUCAUGUCUUUUUUCCAUCAUCUUUUCUUGACAUUAUGUUCUCAUAUCAUCCUUUCAAUUCUCAUAUCAUCAAUUUCAACAACAUAAUAGUAUUAGAAAUAAGUAAGCACCAUAGAGUUUAUUAAUUUCACAACAAUAGAAAAUCACAUAGUUCCAUUACAAUAAAGCAACUUAGCCAAUUUUUAUCACUGAAAUUGAAACAAAAAAAUUCAGAACAGUGACAACAGUCUAGCAACUCAAGUUCAGCCAAAUAUCAAACAUAAGCAACCAAAUGAAUUCACUACUUUCACAAGUCUUCACCUAUUAACAAUAACUUUUAGCCUUUAUUAACAGAUACCAAUUAGAAUCUCCUUGAUUUCAAUUCGAAACUCACUAAGAUACCUAUUGGAAUCAACUGGAUCUCAAUUGAGCUUUGUUGAGAUACUAGAAAAAUUGAAGGAAAGGUGUCAUUUAAGUCUUGAAUGAAUAAUUCGUAACAUUUUCCAACUUAAAGAGUCAAAAUAAUUAAGAAACUUGAUUUGGUUAAUUGUGAACUUGAUUAAUAUUUUCACAAUUUUCUAAUCUUUUCAGAAAUACAAAUCAACCCGCACCCCUCUCCUCUCUAAAUCAACCAUUUCUCCCCCCUCUCUCGUGAGUUUCUCUCAACUUCUUCCGACUGAUAGUUCUUCAAAUUUCUCCCUUCAAUCUCUGGCAACUUCAACCUCCAGUAAUAAAUAGUUGAGCUUUAAGUUCCUUUUCGAUAUUCAAACGUCAAUCUAUGUGACAACCAUGCUUUCCGGCCAUAACAACUUCGAGUUCUUUAUCGUUCCUUUUCUUCUUUCACAGGUAAAAAAUUAUGGCUUUUUAAUUUUGAAGAAAAAAGAGGAAUUUGAGCCAACUUCUCUUUUAGUAUUGAUUAAUAAUUUUAAUAUUUGUUGCUUUAAUUUAAAAUACGGUCUGAAAAAUUUUUUAAUUUCUGGUAUUUCUUCACUUCUCUUUUCUGAGUGAAAUAUGAUUUUUUGUUGUUUGUUACUAUUAGAGGUAGAGGUAUGGACUGCGUACAUCUUACCCCCCCCCAGACCCCACUAGGUGGGAAUACACUGGGUUUGUUGUUGUUGUUGUUAUGUUUGUACAAAUAAAACAACAAUGUUGGCGUUUUGGGUGUUGCGCCCAUUGUUGGGUUUAUUUGUUCUUGUUCUUGGUAAAAAUGAUGUAUAUGAUAUUAAAUGGUGAUAUUGCUAUUGUUCUAUUAAACAAAAUCUUGCUACUAUUUUUUCUAUAAUAAAUUAAUCAUUUGAUGUAACAAAUUAACCAUAUGAUACAACAGAUUAAUCAUUUGAUAUAACAGAUUAACCAUCUGAGGUAAUAGAUUAACCAUCUAAUGCAACAGAGAAACCAUCAGAUUAAAAAUCUAAUACAAUAGAAUAACCAUCUGAUGCAAUAUAUUAACCAUCUAAUACAACAGAUUUACCAUCCGAUGCAAUAGAGGAACCAUCAGAUUAAAAAUCUAAUACAACAUAUUAACUAUCUGAUGCAAUAGAUUUACCAUAUGAUGUAACAAAUUUACCAUCUGAUGCAACAGAAGAACCAUCUGAUUAAAAAUCUAAUGCAAUAGAUUAACCACUCAAUGCAACAGAUUUACUAUCUGAUGCAAUAAAUUUACUAUCGAAUUAGCCAUCUGAUGCAACAAAUGAACCAUCUAUUGGAUAAAAUCCUAUCAACUAUUCCAAUAGGACGACAUGUCCAAGACUUGAUUUUUUUAGCAGAUCAUUCAUCUGUUGCGAUAGACGACCCUUCUGUUGAAAAAAAUCUAAACAACAUUGAUAGUUGAUAACAAUUCCAACAGAUCACUCAUAUGUUGUAACAAAUGUUUGAUCUGUUGCACAAAUCAGUCAUCUAUUUCAAAAGAUGAGUGAUUUAUUUUUAUUAUUUCCAACAGAUUUCUCAUUCGGUCCAACAUGUUAUUUAUAUGUUGUAAUAUGUAAUUUGCCUAGUGCAACAGAUGUGUGAUCUGUUGGAACUGUUAGUUUACUAUUGUACAUGUUAUAUUUACUGUUAUCCCCUUUUUAACGAUGCAUUAAUCAGUUAUAAUCUUUUUUAUUUUUUUGUUAUUUUUAGAUAAUAUGUCUCCCAAAAGAAAAAACUGAAUCAAGUCCAAGUAAGGGAACAAGUGAAGCAGCUAGGCUACAUCCACCACUCUAUGGGCUUGCUUUACAAGUGACAUAUCAAUCAGAAGCAGAAGAUAAUGAACAUGGGGAUAAAGAAUGUUUCAAAAGAGAUGAUCCAAAUGCUAAUAGCCCUUCUUCUAAAGAGUUCGUCAAAACCUUCAGCAUUGAUAGUUAUCCUGUGAUAAUGCAGUGCAAUGGUGCCAUCAAUUUAACUCGUGAUUUCGUGGUUAAGUCAGCCAUGGGAAAAUCUUUUGACACCUUUUGAAAAAUAAUUCGAGAACAAAAAUUAGAUGCUUAUUUCAGGAAAAGCUUCUUUGGGCAAUAUCUUGAUUUGCCGGAGGACAACAAUGCUCGUUUUCAAAUAAAAAUGGUAUAUGAUCUUCUCAAGCGUAGGUUUAUGUAUGAGAAUAAAGAUAAAAUGGAUAAGGUGUAGAUAAAUUACUGUGGCAUGCCUGUUUGUUUUGGAUAGAAGGAGUUUGCCAUAGUUACGGGACUAAAAUGUUAUCCUCCUUCUCCUUCUCAAGUUAUACCUAUUCUAACCCAAAAAAUCACCCCGCAAAAUCAAAAAAGGCAAAGGAAAGUCAAAUGAUAGUGAUGACUUGGUAUCCCUUGUUGGUCCAGUCUUCAAAAAUAAAAUUUGAUAGAAGUAUUGAAAGGUAAAAGACUUUCAAAGAAGCAUAAGCAAUCAUUUGUAGUACCCCAUACGUUUCUAGUUCAGUUUAGCCCUUAGUAAUUUCCUAUAACAUUUAGAACCCAAAAAUAAAGCUAAGUGUUGAGGGGUUUAGUUAUUUUUGAAUUCUUUUAACUCUGAGGAUUUUUAGGUUAAUCUUUCGGGCUCCGAGACGAUGAUUUUUGAGUUGAUUUAUGCUCAGGGGUGUAUUAGCAUGUCUCGAAUAAGUUUUAGAUUUUUUGAACAAGGUUUGGACCAUAUUUGGAUUCGACAAGUAGCAGCUCACCGCGAUUAGACCGUCGUGGUGAGUACAGCAGUGAGUAAGCCACUGCAUCCAAUGAAGGUCUAAUCGGUAGUUUUUGGUUUCCAGAGAGUCACCGCAAUUACACCCCGUCAUGGUGGGAAUCACGAUGACCCAUUCACCGCGUUGCGGUGAUGCUCUAAAUGGCACUUCAGUUCCAAAUUUUAAAUUUAGGGGCAACUUAGUCUUUUUCCCAUGCCCCCAAAUCGUGAAAAUAAAAGAUUUAACCCUAUUCUAAGCAUAUUACACUCAUUCUGCACCAAAAUUUGAAAAUAAUUCCUCAAUGAGCAUCUAUUGUGAAUGAAGCAAGAAUAAAAGGGUUACUUGUAAAGAUAAAGAAAACAACUGAUACAAGCAAUAAUGAAGUUGAAAAUAACAACUAUAUGGUCAAAAAUGGGAAGAAAAUUGAUUUGUUGUGAAGGGUUGACUAAUAUGUUGAGUAGUUGUUGUUUGUAUUGUUGAGAGAGAAAUAAAAGAGCGAGAACUCAAGAUUUAAAAUGAUAAAAUAUUUUUCCUCAAAUGGAUGAUUUGUAUGGGUUGAUUUGUAUUUUGAAAAAGAUUGACAAGUUUUAAAAAAUGUUAAUUUGGUCCAUAUUGAUCUUAAUUAUUUUUUUUAAAAAGAUAAAUUUUAACCGUUUCAUUAUAAUUGAAGCUGUAGUUGACCCUAUGAACUCAUCCCUAGUUCUAUCUAAAUCAAUUUAGGUAUUUCAAAUAAUAAGCUAAUAUGAAUUAUUUCAACUCAGAUUGAUCGAUUGACGUCUCAAGUCAGGAAAAACUCAAUACCAACAUCAUGCAAUUACAAUGACUUAAUUAAAAAUAUAGUUGACCCUAUGAACUCAUCCCUAGUUCUAGUUAAAUAAUUUUUGGUAUUUUAAAUAAUAAGUUAAGAUGAAUCAUUUCAACUCAGAUUGAUCGAUUGGUGACUCUGGUCAGGCCAAAUUCAAUAUCAAAAUCAUAUAAUUGCAAUGACUCAAUUGAAACUGUAGUUGACCAUAUUAACUCAUCCAUAAUUCUAGCUAAAUUAAUUUAGGUAUUUCAUAUAAUAAGCUAAUAUGAAUCAUUUUAACUCUGAUUGAUCUAUUGACAACUCAAGUCAGGAAGAAUACAAUACCAACAUCAUGCAAUUGCAACGACUCAAUUGAAACUAUAGUUGAUCCUAUGAAAUCAUUCAUAGUCUAGCUAAAUCAAUUUAGCUAUAAUACCUUGUAUGUGUCACGCUUAACUUAAUCUCAGUUCAUGAGUUAUCUAAUAUAAAAUUUAUGAAACGCUUAUUAUUUUAAGUUUAAAGCCUGCCAUUGCACAGAAAAUUGAAUUAGCUUUCUAACGAUAUAAAAUUUGCCUAAAUUCGAUAACCGGAUAAGAAGUUAUGGUUAUUUUAAGUUUUAGUCGUUAAACAUCAUCAUUCAGUCCAAUAGCACAUCACGGAGUAUGCCAAAAUGACAAUUGUCAAUUUCCAGUGUUGCUCCGCGAUAUUGGUACAUCGCGUCAAGGCUUAUUUUCACGUUUGUCAAUUUCCAGUGAGCCAACGUGAUUGUACCGCGUCACGCCAAGCUUCCAGGUCUCAUCCAGUGUUGCAAUGCAAUUGUACCGCAUUACGCCACCAGCCCAGUUCCCAAUUGUCAAAUUUUAGUGACACGAUAAGAUAGCACCGUGUCGUACCAGGGGUCCAGGUCGGGAAAAUUUUAUCAUGUAAAUAAUCCAUGCUCCCUAAGUGUUUGCUAAAUUGUCUAUGUGAAAUAAAUAGUAGAAUCAUGACACAUUAUUAUGUGAUACCAUUCAUGCACAAGUUCAUGUAUAUUAAGUGUUUGACAAAAUGUCUAAAUGAGUGCAUUAUUGCAAAUAAGUAUUGUUAUGCCUUUAUGUUCAUGUUAUGUCUUUCUCUUAUGCUAUCGAGUCCUGGGGGUAUUUAAUACCCGACUAUUUAGCUGUGUACCUAGAGCCAAUAUCAGUUACAAAAUCUUAGUCAUGUCACGAUCAGAAGUACUCUCAGUUAGUUACAGAACUUAGUAGAACUCAGUCAGUUGCAGAACUCAAAAAAACUCAGUAAAAUUAGUAUUUAGUCCAUUCCAAUUCAGUAUAAUCAAUUUAGUGUCUUUCAAUUAGGAGUAGGAUUCAGCACCGAGUGAACCCAAGGAUGGGGGCUCACCUGCCAGUAGAGAGUGUGAUCUCUAGAAGCAAUCCUUGCAUUCCAGAACUACGUAGCCAGCGUAGGUUGAGACAUCAAACCUGCCUGUUGAGGGUUGAUGAGGUAUUUUAACCUGAUAGAUAAGGGUUCCACCGUUCUCAUUAGGGUACAUGCCAGAUAAGGGUAACUCUUCAGUGUCUUUACUCGUGGCACGGUACUGAUACCCUUCUAACUAGAGUCACAGGUUGGACCCCAACUCAGUUAUCUUAUUUGGGUCAUGUCGGUUAGAUGAUUACCUCCCACAGUCUCAAUUUCAGUCUUUAGAAUAGAACUCAGUUCAGUUUUACAGAAUCAGGACUGUCAGAUAUAGUCAAUUAGUAUCAGUAACUUAGUUAUCAGUAACUUUAGAUAUCAGUUACUCAGUAUCAUAACUUAGUACUUAGCUUCAGAUAAGCGUACUCACAGUAUUUAUUUAUAUGCACAGUAGUGCAUACUUAGUAUUUACAACAGUAUCAGUUAUCCAUGUACUCUCAUAUUCAGUUACACUAUAUCAUUCAGUCAGUUAUUGUUCAUGCUUAUGAACCCUUGAAUUCAGCCUCACCUCAUCUAGCAUACUAGUAUAUUUUGAUGUACUGACACAUAUUUUCUUGCGCUAUGAUGUUUCAUAUCAUAGGUUCGGACGCUCAGGUUUUGACCGCCCAUAGAUAGAUUCAGAUUUACCCAACAACAGUAGAUUAGCAGUGAGUCCUCAUUAUUCGAGGAUAUUCUUUUAUUUUAUUAUUUCAGUAGACUCAGUAUUUCAGUAAAUGAAUUUUUUUGGGGGAUUAUCCCAUCAACUUUGCUUUUCAGACAGUUCAGUUAGAGGCUUUUCAGACUAGAUUAUUCAGAUAGUAUUCAGUUUAGUAGAUGUCAUUAUCAGAUGUUAUUAUAUUUUAUUAGUAUUUUAGAUGUUUUGAACCUUAUGGCAUUUCAAACUAUUUUUUGUAUUUAUUACAGUAUCAUAUUUCAGUGCUCACAGCAGAUAUCAAAUAUGGGUUAACUUGUGGUCCUUUGGGAUCGUAAGCACCGUGUAGCGUCCGGGCUACAGACUUAGGGAGUUACAAACUUUGUAUCAGAGCUGGGUUUAAUAAAGUCCUAGAAAGUCUGAAAGCCGCAUCUAGUAGAGUCUUGUGCAUGCUUGUGUAAUGCGCCACACUUUUGGACAGGAGGCUAUAGGAUGUUUUAGAAAACAAUUUUCCUUCUUUUAGUAUUCAUUUCAUGCGAGUGAGCAUGAGCUCAAUUUAAAAUCUCAAUCUAAUUUGUUUCCUUCUUUCCAUUUAUAGAACAUGCCUCCUAAAAAGACUAGCGAAAAAAGAACCAGAAAUUAGUUAGCACCUCAGCCCAUUCAGGCAGAUCCCCUGGACGAGCAUGUCUCCCAUGUAGAAUUUAGAGCUGUAUUCACUACUCUAGCCAACUUUGUAGCAUCUAAGAAUGAACGGCCAGUUACUUUCAGGCCAACCGAGUGUCCAAUACUGCUGUAGCCAGGAUUAGGGACUUCACCCGAAUGAAUUCUCCCUUAUUCUCAGGAUCUAAGUCAAAAGAGGAUCCACAGGAGUUUCUCGAUCAGGUUCAAAAAGUCACAGACAUUAUAGGAGUGACUUCUAGUGAGAGUGCUGAGUUAGCUGCCUAUCAUUUACAAGAUGUAUCUUAAAUGUGGUUUAAGCAGUGGAAGGUAGACAGGGGAACAGACGUAGAGCCCAUAGAGUGGAAAGAGUUUGCUACUGCUUUUCUUGAGAGAUUCUUUCCCUUAGA
rnacentral:lncRNA from 1 species